rnacentral:lncRNA from 1 species
UUCACAAUGGCCUCUACAACCAUGGCUCUUUCUUCCCCAUCAUUCGCCGGUAAGGCAGUGAAGUUCUCCCCUUCCACCCCUGAAAUCCAGGGAACUGGCCGUGUUUCCAUGAGGAAAACCACCAAGCCUGUUCCUUCUGGUAGCCCAUGGUACGGUCCUGACCGAGUUUUGUACUUGGGUCCACUUUCCGGUGAGCCACCAUCUUACUUGACCGGUGAGUUCCCUGGUGACUAUGGUUGGGACACUGCUGGACUCUCAGCUGAUCCCGAGACCUUUGCUAGGAACCGUGAGCUCGAAGUCAUUCACUGCAGAUGGGCCAUGUUGGGAGCUCUUGGGUGUGUUUUCCCUGAGCUGUUGGCUAGGAACGGUGUCAAGUUCGGUGAAGCUGUAUGGUUCAAGGCCGGGUCUCAAAUCUUCAGUGAGGGUGGACUUGACUACUUGGGUAACCCAAGCUUGAUCCAUGCUCAAAGCAUUUUGGCCAUCUGGGCUUGCCAAGUUAUCUUGAUGGGAGCCGUCGAGGGCUACCGUAUUGCCGGUGGACCACUCGGUGAAGUGACUGACCCAUUGUACCCAGGUGGCAGCUUUGACCCAUUGGGUCUUGCUGAUGACCCAGAGGCAUUCGCUGAGCUCAAGGUGAAAGAGAUCAAGAACGGUAGGUUGGCUAUGUUCUCAAUGUUCGGGUUCUUCGUUCAGGCCAUCGUGACCGGAAAGGGACCAUUGGAGAACUUGGCUGACCACCUUGCUGACCCAGUCAACAACAAUGCUUGGGCCUAUGCCACCAACUUUGUCCCCGGAAAGUGAACUUAGAGAGUGAGAAGGGAUUUGUCUUGUUUAUGUUUUUAUUUGUUGGUGUGAAUUUAAAUUUGUUGCACAAUCAAUGAAAGUAUAAUGUGAAUUUUGUGUGCUCAAUUUUUUUGACUGUUCCAAGUCCAUUUGUUUCAAAAAUGAAAAUGGUAAAAACAGGUGAAGCACAUGACGCUAUAGACAAAACGAAAAAUAAAACUGUAAAUUUCGACAAAUUAAGUAUAAAUAUAUUCCCGAAUAAACUUCUCAGCGUUCUAUUUAGUAUCUUGAGAACUAGACAAUGUUACAGUGACCACUUACAUAUAAGUAUAUGAAGUUACCCUGAGGAGAAUGAAGGCAAUGUAUAUAUAUAUACACAAAAAGCUUUAUCAAUGAUAUGAAUGGUGUGACAAAAUGUAACUAUGAACUGGAUAAAGGUGCAAUGAAUACCGAACUCACCAAUGCAGGUUUAACGUUACUGACCUUCACUCAUAACCAAUGUCGACAAAUCAGGGCUGCUUUCGAUUGUUCUUUUGUACUUGUCCACUCAACCAAAUGUAACUUAAUUGUUACUCGCUUGUGCCCUUGCUCUUGAAAUAGACUUGGCAUAAAGUUCUUCGUAUCGUGAAGCUGAAGAAUCCCAGCUGAAAUCUAUAUUCAUGUUCUUCUGAACGAGUUGUUUCCAACUCUCUUUGUUGUUCUUGUAGAAAUUAAAUGCACGCUCCACGGCACCGUUUAUUCCCUGUCAGGUUUUUAACAUCAUCCAAGGUUUAAGCAUAUGAUAGAGAACCAAAACAAUUAAGUUGGAAUGUUGGCAAAUCAUGUUUCAAGAAUUCCUAGAGUUACCUGUUCAUCAGGAGUUGUAAAUGUAAAUCCGUUUCGAAUUUGAUGAGGUAUUGUCUCCUCAUUGACAUCGAAAACGCUAUAGAAGAAAGAUUAGAAAAAAGUUAAGAUUUAUGAUUUUACGGUCAAGUAACUUCAUAUUAGUGGAUUUACUUGCAUAUAAUUCGAGUAAAGUAGUUUACCUGUCAUUUAGACCGCCAGUUUUUCUUGCAAUGGGUACUGAACCAUAUCUCAUUGCUAUCAUCUGGAUGAAAAAAGAAAACAGACCUAGUAGUUAUUUAUUAUUCAACAAGAUUGCUCUAGCUGGAGUUUGGAGUUUGGAGCAUACCUGUGUAAGGCCACAAGGUUCAAAAAUAGAUGGGAUGAUGAACAUGUCAGAUGCUGCGUAAAUGGCAUGAGAAAGAGACUCGUCAUAUUUUAAUAUUAGCCGAAUGUGUUCGUGGUUUUGGAAUUGGUUUGCUAUACCCUCAAAUUCCCUCUGAAAACAAAUAAAAGAAAAAGAAAAUGUAAUAAUUUAAAUCUCAGUGUACUAAGUAUGGAACAAGAAAAGGAUCAACUUAAAAUAAAACAAAUAACUCCGCAUGGACUGAUAUGCCUGAAUGGAGUUUUUAUUGUUUUUAUAGCUUUCAUUCAUGCAAGCAGAAAGAAAUCCGUUGUUCACACAGAGAAAACAGCAGUAGAGAUUCACCUGAAUGUGGGGAACUGGACUUGAACCAAGUAGUACAAACUGACCGCCCAUCUCCAAUGUUCGAUAUAUGGCAUGUUUAAUCAGAUGAACACCUUUCUGUGGCACCAAUCUUGUUAUGCAGCCUACCUAUUCAAUAAUAAAAGACUUCGAGUAAGAAUCCAGGCAGUAUUCAGCUAAGAAAUAAUAAGAACCUCCUAUAAUGCUGUGUUAUUGGAACCUAAAGGUGACCUUAAACUUACAUUGUAACUCAAAAGCUUUCAUAGAGAAUAUAUAUUACAUCUUAGCAAUGUUGAUAUAACAAAUAAAUACUUCGGAAAUAAAAUUACCAAUGGCCGUUGAUCAUCAGCAGAUGAAAGCCCUAGAUUCCUUCUCAUUGCAGCUUUAUUUUCUGCUUUCCCUUGCAUAUCAUUAGCACUAUACUGCACUUUGAGAAAAUUAUCGGUGGCAGGAUUCCAUGCAUCAGUAUCGAUCCCAUUUAAGAUUCCCAUGAACUUUCUUGAGUGAGAAUUCAGUGUUGAAUGGAGGCCUUUUCCUCCCUGUAAAAGUUAGGGACAUGAUUUUGUAGUUCAACCUUAAACUUAUAAAAGGAAGACCAUGUUCUUGAAAGAAAAACUACAGAAUAUUCAUACCUCAGCAGUUCGGACUUCUUGUGCAUAAGUGGGUGAUACUGUCGUCACUAUGUUAGAGAACACAAUUGCACCCUGAAAAGAAGGAAACUUAGAAAAAAGAACAGAAAGAAACUCUAUUUGUUAUAGGCUUAUAGCCAAACCAGUGAUUACAGCACCUUAACAGGAUUGACACUGUCACGUGCUGUGUUAUCCUGCAUCCUAUCAGGUCUAUUUAACUCCUGGGCAUCCAGACCACAUGAUGCCAAUUCUGAAGCAGAUGCAGUCCCUUGGUACUCAAAGUUAUGGCAUGUAAAACAUAUUCGAGCUGAAUUUAAACCUUUUGGAGCAUACAAGUCCCAGUAAAGUGGUGCCUGAAAAUGUAGUCAGAAACACACCAGUCAACAGAACAUUAAAUCAAAUGCCAAAAGAAACAUGAGGCCAAAAUGUCAUACAACAAAAGCUGUCUGCCAAUCAUGGCAGUGAAUUAUAUCUGGUUUCUUGCCAGCUUGAAGAAGAAACUCGAGUGCCGCGCGACUGAAAAAUGAAAAACGCUUGAAAUCAUCAUGCUCUCCAUAAUAUUGACCUCUCCAGAAGAACUUGUUGGGAUGAUGAGGCUCAAUAAAAUAAACAGGAAGACCUGUGAAUUUAAUUGCACAUUCAGAAAGCAAAGCUAAUAGAUAACACGCAACUAGAAAGGAAAGAAGAGAUUCUCACCUUCAACAGUACCAACCCAAAUUUUAUUUUGAAAUAGUUUGCCAUCAAAAUAUGACUCUACAGUCACAUCUAAGGCCUGUCAAAAAAAUAAAAUAAAAUCAUCAGAAGCAUAUAUUGGCCUAUGACCUUAGUGCAUCUCAAAUAUGCAAACAUACCCUUAAGUCAUGAAUGCCGUCAUAUUGCAUACAAUCAUAUUUUGGAAGAAUAAUCUCUACAAGGUGUCCUUUCUUCUGCAGUGUUUUACCAAGACCAGUCACAACAUCUCCCAAACCACCAACCUGAUUAAAAGUUAUUGAAUUAAGAGAACAGAGCAACAGAAAGAAAUCCUCCAAACUAGUAUGUAAGAAUAUGCAAGUGGAAAAAUAUUGUACAAGCUACAUAGAAGCAAGAGUCAGAAAACAAUUAUUGAACAUUCAUUUCUCAGUACUAGGAAUUCGGCGAUCAAUUUUGUAAACAGAUAAAAUAACCAUUCUAGCAAAGAACUUGACAUGUAGAGAUAUAUUUAGUAAUUAUUAAAAGAUCCAAAGGGUAGUAGCCUAGUUGCUAACAAAUAGAGAAAAGAGAAUGCAGAAACAAAAUAAUGUCACCAUUGAGACAUAUCUGGUCACAUAAAACAGCCAGCUACCCAGCCAUCCAGGUUCAAACACAAGAUCAAAAAUAUACACUUGCAAGCACCCAGGCAGCAAUUUCCAGCGGCACAAAGGUACACAGGCAUUGGUGAUUAUACACUAUCAACUUCUUUCAAGCAGAUUGAAACCAUGUAUAGUCUUUAUGCAUAAUUCCAGUUAAGACUUCCCAAGGAGCUUCGCUCCUUGGAAUUUAAGAGCAAAAGAAAAAGCUACACUAGGGGUGUUUGAAAUAGAUGAGGAUGAAUUUCUCAGCAAAAUAUGGAAAAUAAAAUGAAAACUUUAAGCUUGUUUGAUCAAGGUAAGUAAUAGGAAAAGGAAAUCCAAGAAAACUGCUAAAAGGUCUGUCCAUUGGUAAGGAAAGUUGUAAACUUGUACUUCAUAUAAAAAGCAUGUGGAUUAACAAGUAAAAUGAAGAUGUCUACUUCAAUGAAAUUUUAAAAGGAAGAAUUUGUUUUCGACCUUUAACAAAAGAAUCCAAGCCAUGAAGUACAGCUUUAGAUUAACCUAGACAUCGCUCUACUGCUUAGUAAUUGAAUUCCAGAAGGAAAGAACAGUAGACUCUGUACAUCUGUCAGCAUUAGCUAAUAAACACGAAAUAUUUAGUGAAAACAAUGCAGUCUUCCAUUAUGAUGAACUGAGAAACAACUCAAAGUGUAACUGGUAAUGCAUAAACAAUCAUAACUAUUGUAGUAUAAUCAUAGGAGAAUCCAUUGGUGAACAUGGAAAACCACAGAGGAUGUGGAAAAGAACUGUUGCAAGCAAGUAUAGUGAGGCCACAAGAUUAAAGAAAAAGUAAAACGCAAUAUAUUAAGAUGCUCCUCUAUCUUACAGCUUUUUAUUAUAAAAAAUGCAAACUAUGCAAGGCAUAGGAACCAGGAAAAUAUCAGCAACACCUAGAAAGAAAUUAACAAUCUAAUAAAUACAUUGUUCAUUUUGACAGAGUCAAUCAAAUAAGAAGUCAGCAAAUCUAUGAGAAUACAACAUUAGAUAUGGACAUGGGUUAAGGGUUUGAAGGUAAAAAAAGACUAGAAAGGAUAAGGCCUCUUACAAUGUAUGUUCAUUAAGAUUAGCCAAGAAAGCAACAAAUAUGAGGGGCUAAGUCUUACCUUAGCAACUGGUGCCAUCUCAGCGGCAAUAUGAACGAUGUACAACCCUGGACUAAAGACAAAAAGAUGGACAAGUUAAAAAAAAGCAGUAAUGCAGUAAAAUUAAUUAGUUAAAGGUAAGCACCUAGUUUGUGAGGAUGCCAGCCGGAGAAAUGUAGAUAUAACUUCACGCUCAUUCUUUUCUUUGCAUGCAAUAUGUGCAUCACGAAUGCAUUGCUCCUUCUUCCACACCAGUUCUCUCAAAAGCUUUGCAUCACUGUUUGAUAUUUUCUUCUCAAGCACCCAACCAUCAAUAGUAAGCAAUAAGCGGCUCCAAAAUUCCCAAGGCACAUCAUCAACUAGUGCAUCUGAUGUCCUUUUCUUGCUUUCUUCUUUCAAACUAUUAAGAGUAUCCUGAAAUGCCUCCAGAGAUUCUUGAUAUAAUUGGACAAAAGAAUAUAUCUCUUGAUCAGACUUUUGAAGACGCUCCUCUAGUAGUUUUAUCUUUUUCUGUAUGAGUUCAUUAUAUUGUUGCAUUUUGUCAGAUGACACCUUAAGGACGUUAACCUCUUCAAGAGAUUUUUCCAAUUUAUCAACCUUCUUUCGAAGAUCCUGGUUUUGCUGUAACACUAAAGUGGCUUGAUCAGCCUGUUUAGUUGCCGUAUCGAACAACUGUUGCAAAUUUUCUACCUUUUCCCAUAGCUCCUGGUGUUCAACCUUUAUAGUAGAAAUAUUUGAAGAGUCUUGCUGAGAAACCAAUAGUUUAGACUCCAACUCCUUCACAGAGGACCCUAGAAAAGAGCAUUCAUUUUCCAAUGUUGCCAUGCGUUCAUCAGUGUUCUUGACAUUGCUAAUCAUAGACUUAAGUGCUUGGAUAUCAUUUUUUAGGGCUAGAUUCUCUGUCCUUAAUGAAUCAACAUCCUUGUUAAGAGAAUGAUCAUCAUGUGUUGAAAGCACUUCCUCAUUCGAAAAUUUCUUUUGAUUCUCAUAUGGUUCAAGCUCACCCCUGCCAGUUAACUCAUUUCGCAACAUCUUUAAUUGACUUUCUAGGAACUCCACAUGUAUCUUUCCUUGAGAAGCAACUUUAAUCCGUGCAUCAGCCUCUGCCAAUCUCAUUUCCAAAAUGUUAAUUUCUCCUUGCAAAGUCUCCUUCUCAUCAAGAACUUUAUCAAUAUCUUCUAGCGCAUGAACCCGUGCUUGAUUGAGAACAAGGAUAUCUACAUAUUUAGAAACGAAUGAAUGUGAUGAUAUGUAUAUAUCUCGAGUUGUGUACAAAAAUAAGAUCUACAUAGAUAUAAAUUCAACAAUUUCUUAACAGCAAGUUAUCUUACUUCUCUCUGCAUUUUUUAUCAUGCCUACCAGUUCCUCUAGUUGCAUACUUGAGAGCUGCUCUCCAUUUAUGGCCUGCAAAAAAGAAAAUAGCUAUAAUAUUUUAAGUUUAAACCUUUAAUUUAUAUAGUUCAUCCUAAGAAAACAUAAAAUAAUAAGUAUAUGACUAGGUAUCUCUUAUAGUUCCAUAACUAACUGCUUCUCCCGAGACCUAAUAAGUUCGGGACUCUAACCUAAAAAGAAAUCAUUUUUAUCAAAACUCUGCAGUAUAUUGUACCAGAUAAAGCAUCAAUAAAAAAAUCAGAUCACUGCUGAAUGGAAAUCUUAAUUAUUAGGGAGAACUCAUAAUUACUAUAAUUGCUGGACACAACAAUUAAGCAAUGGUAAAGGUGUUCAAUUAUUCUUCCACUUCACCAUCAUUCUGAAAAAGUUAAAAAAGAUAAAACAAAUCAAACUAAAAUAUCCAAACAGACAAUAAAAAUGUAACACCAAGCAACACAACCUUAGUCUAGAUUCACUACAGACUUAUUCUGCAAAUGAAAGUACCAAAGCUUUUGUUACAGAAGGCAGCACGAGGCCGUUUAUAAUCUGUUCACUGGUACGCUCCACGUCUCCGUUAGUCUCAACAGCAGAGGCAGAUAGAGUGCCCGAAUUCUGUUCGGCGAUAUUCUCUACAUCUAUCACAGUGUUAACAUCAUCUUUUCCACUAGUUUCAUGACUUACAAAAGGCUCCACAUCUACACCAUUUGGAAAAGAAUUUUCAGGUUCAGAUUCCUCAUCCCUAAUCGGCAGCAACUCUGCACUCGUUGGAAUCCGCUCAGAAGGAGGUUUACUCAUUCGUUGCCUUUUAUGAUUUGAACUACAUAAAUAUCAAUAAGAACAUAAAAUUUAAAAAAAAAAAGAAAAAAAAAGAGUGGAUUAUAAGUUGUUCUAUGAUUUGGAUUGAUCAUAAUCAGUCAAACUCAUUGACUACCCUAAUCAUUAGGUAUAAUUCGCAUUCAAACAUAGAACCAUAUGUCAUUAGUUACUAAUUCCUGCCAUUAAUCUGCACUAAGAAAUCAAAAUUCUAGCAAAUAAUGUCUAGCUUUUACUAUAUCUAGUUGAAACGAAGUUCUAUUCAGUAAAAAAUUUCACAAACUCGAUCAAGGAUAAAAACAAAAUCGAUCUUUCAAAAAAUACCUGAGAUUACGUUGCCGCAUUUUACAAUAAGCUGGGAGGAAUUGACGCGAAGGCAAAAACAGCACCCUCAUAUAUACAUUCUUAUGCUUAUCAACAGUGUUUUUAUAACUACUGUUAUUCAAACAACUAAAGCCAUGACUGAAAAAGCAAGCCGAUAACUUUGCAGACAUUUCUUUAUUAUGAUGAUUCUUUUUUCUUUCAAAUGACUGAGAAAAGCUUGUUUUCCAUUUUUCUAUGCCGACGAAUUUAAAAGAUAAAUGGGAGGGUAAGAAUAACCGCUUUCUUUGGCAUAACGAUAGCUUCCUGCCUGAGAGGGAAAGCUUAGUAUAAAAAAAUGAAGAUACUAAGUAAUAAAUAUCUUAAAAUGCUGAUAAUAUCUCAGUGGAGGGAAUGAAACUCCUUUUGAUUGAUGACUCCUUUUAUUGUUAAGGUAUGACUAUUUUCGGUUACAACCUUAUCUAAAUCCAACAUAAUAUAUUUAAACAUUUUCAUUUUUCAGUAGAGGAUUUUGAAAGUAUAUUUUAGAUUAUCUUUGGUGAAAUAUUAGAAUUAAUUUUUUAUAAUUUAAAAAAAUUAAAAUAUCAUAUUUUUUAAAUUAAAAUAUAAUUGAUAUAAUUAUAUUUUUAUUAUAUAAUUAAAUUUGUGAUGAUAAUUUAAGAUAAAUUUUAAAUUUUAAAUUGAUUUAAUCCAUUUUAAAAAUACAAGAACACCAAUAAAAUAUUAGAUAUUAAUAUUUAAUGUCCAAUAUACUAAAAAAGCUUUUAAACUAUUAUACUUUAUUUAAAUAAAUCUUAUUUUUUAGUUAAAUAAACUCUUAACUCUUGUUUACUCAUUAAAAAUUUUAAAUUUUAAUAUUAAAAAGUAAAAAUAUGUAAACAUGUUUUAAAAUUUUAAAUUAAUUUACAUUUGAUAAUAAUAUUUUUUUUGGACCAAAUUAAUGUGUUCAUCGCUCAUAACAGUAACUCAUCUAUAAUCUAUAUAAGAACACAUGUUUAAAGAAAUUUUUGAAUUAACAAAAAUAUUAUUUUUUAUUAAUUAUAUUAGUAAUUUGAUAUUAAAAUAAUAAUUUAUCAUUAUGUGAUAAUAAUAAAAGUAAUAUUAAUUGAAUUUUAUAAAUUGAAUUCAUUAGUUAAAUUUUUAAUAUUUAAUUUUUUAACACUUAUUUUGUCAACAUUUAAUUUUUAUCAAAUUAAUUAAUAUUACUUUUAUUAUUAUCACAUAAUAAUAAAUUAUUAUUUUAAUAUAAAAUUAAUAAUAUAAUUAAAAAUAAAAAAUUUUAAAUAUUUUUCCAAACUCGCUUUUAUUUAGAUUAUAGAUUAUAAAUAGAGAAUAUGUUUUUGCUUAUGUAAGUUUAUUAUUUACUUCUUUAAUUUAAUUUAGUUUUUGUUGUUUAUUUAGUUUUUUAUAUAAUUCAUGUGAAUUUGAUGAUUUAGAAAAAAAAAUUACAUGUCAAAUUUUUAUUGGCGGAUUUAGCAAUUCAAUUAAGAUGUUAACACCAGAUAUCAUAAUAAAACACAUAUUAAUACUUCAAGUACUACAAAGUGCAUGUACCACAUUUGAUAUUUUAUAAAAGUACAGGUACCAAAAGUGAAAUUAUCCCCUUUAAAAAUGUUUAGUUACCUAAAUGAAAAAGUUACCAUGGUUUAAGGGCUUCUUUUCUAUUUAGGCCUUCAAACUAUCCCGCAAACUGUGGAUUUGAAGGAAACGCAAAAAAAAAAAAAAAAAGAAGUUAAAAUCUUAUUCUUUGUAAAAUCCGUUUACUUUUUUAUAUUUUAUUUUUAUUUCCGCCAAAAUCAGAAAAUCUUCUUCUUAAUGCACUAAUAUUCUCAAUUUCCUCAAAAAAAUCUUCUUCUUAAUUCCAAAUUUAUUGAUCCCUGGAUUUCGAAUCAUACAAUUUAAAUUUCCUCUCUUAAUCCUUGUUAAUCUGUUUCAACAAUCAACAUUUUAAAUCAAAUCCUCUACUCUGAUUUUUUUUCUUCUUAUAUAUCACUUAGAUCAAGAAAUGGAGAAAAACACUAGCUGUUUUUUCUCCAAUUCAUCUCCAAAUCUUGUAAUCACUUGUUUCGUCGCCUUCAUUACCAUCAUAUUGGUUCGAUUUCUCUACGUUAUUUACCGAACCGGUAAGCCUCUAAACAAAAGAACUUCGCAGCAGACUCUCAGUACUCUCAUUGUUUUAGGUUCAGGUACUCUUCAAAUUUCGUUUAUCUGUUUCCUUAUUUGCCUUUAAACUUCACGAUGUUUUAUUUUGAUCUUUGGAUAUUGAUUUAUCGAUAUAGGAGGACACACAGCGGAGAUGAUUAAUCUUUUAUUAGUUUUACAAAAGGAUCGAUUUACGCCCGAGGUUUUAUAUCGCCGCCGCUACUGAUAAUAUGAGUCUUCAGAAAGCUCGCGUGUUUGAGAAUUCUUUGGUUGAUUCGGUAAAAUUGGCUACUUCAAAUUUUAAUUAUGUUAUUAAUUGCUACUAGGAUUCUUUUUAGUACUUUCUUUCAUUGGAUUUCAAUUUGUUUAAUGUGAAUUUUUGUUCUUGAGUGUACGUUUUAUAUAUUCCUUUGAAUUAUUAUUAAUUAAUGAUUUUGAUAUUCUUUUUAGUACUUUUCCCCUUUAUGUGUCAAUGUUGUUAAUUUUCGAUGUUAUUUUUAAGGUAAAUGUAGCUCUUUUUUAUUGGAAUGUUUGAUGGCAUCACAAUUGAAUGUGCAUCACUCGUUCUAAAUGAUAUCCUAAUUGCAGACCCUCAAGUAUGAUCCACUGGACAGCCUAGACUAACAGUUUUUUUCAUUGCCGAUUUCGUGUGUUGGUAGUUACUUUUUGCAAUCAUUUCUAUUAGCUUGUAAAAUUUAAAGUUUUAAAUGAGUUUUGACAUUGAAUGGAGGAUGGUUCCAUAGCUGUGCUUAUCGUUAAGAAGUAGAACUAUGUUUCAUAAUCAUUUUGCUGUUUUGCUGGUCAAAUAAGAGAUUUACUUCUUAAACUUAUUUCAACAAUAGGGUGCCAAGGGAAUCUCUGCAGAGUUUAUGCAAAUCUAUAGAAGCAGGGAAGUUGGUCAAUCAUAUGUAACUUCUGUCUGGACAACUUUAGUUGCUACGGCUCAUGCAUUGUGGCUAAUGAUUAAAAUCAGACCUCAAGUGGUAUUUUUCUGUUUCUGUUAUGUCCAUCCAUUUUUUCCCCUUCCAAUCUUGUUACUUUUAUUAAAGAAAGAUUCCAGAAUCAAAUUUCUAGUUAUUAACUUGACUUUAAUUGCAGGUUCUUUGCAAUGGACCUGGUACUUGUAUUCCUCUAUGUGUAAUUGCUUUCAUUUUCAAGGUUUGUCUGUUUUCCCUGGAAGCCAUAUUAUUUUGUAUUGCUUUCUCUCUGAGAUAUUACUGAUGAAAUUUUUCCAAAAGUUAAAUGCAUAAACAUUUGUACAUCUAGGAAAGUUGGAGUUAGCCAUUUUUCUUGGAAAUUUUGCUUGCAGGUUGUUGGGAUUAGAUGGUCAUCCAUAUUUUAUGUUGAGAGCAUUGCAAGAGUAAAAAGGCUCUCUUUAAGUGGUCUGUUGCUUUACAAGUUACAGAUUGCAGAUCAGUUCUUUGUGCAAUGGCCACAACUGCAGAGAAAAUACCCUCGAGCUCGUUAUGUUGGUUGCCUGAUGUAGUGAAUUAAGUCUGCUGCUGAUGGGUACUCUUAUUUUAACUUCUAAGGUUUUUUUUUUUUUUUUUUACUUAAAUAGUGUAUUCAGCAACAUGGUCUGAAGUAGACCAUGAUAUUUGGCCAAAAAGAAAAAGUGAUAGAAUGCGACACGAUUCUUUUGAAAAUUUGACUCUAUUUACUACAGUUGCACAUUAACAAAAGCAUGUUAUUUAAUAAUUCUAGCGUAUCAUUUCACUGCCCGAAUAUUAAGUCCUUAAAUUUGUUGGCAAAUAACUUCUGAGGCAUAAGUUUCUAGUUCAACAUUUCAAAAACCUCUGCAUGUGUUUCUCAAUUUAGAAGCUUUCUGAUCAAGCCAUUGCAAGCAGUGCAUAAUCCGAAUGCAUAUUUCCUUUGGAGACUUCAGUGUGGCUUGCUGGACCAGUUCUGAAAUAUCAGGACAUAGUUAGUAGAACUAGUGAUUUGAUUAUAAAAGGAGUAAACUUUUGUGAAGGGAAAAGUUGAUAGUGGAAGGUGUAAGAGUCCAAUAGAAUACACCAAAGCUAUGCUGCUUGCUCAUUGACAGUGCAAGCAACUUUUAGGUGCCUAGGUGGUGAGAGGCAGUAACAAGGAACGAAAAUCAGGAAGCCUACAAUUUGCGCAAGUGUAGUUACCCAUAUGCUUUUCCCACCUUUAUCGUAGUAUAGUCAUCUCAAGAGUGUGGAUGCUGACUGGUCAAAGAUCACCGAAAGUGCAUACAUGAUGAUGAGAUCCACUUAUAGUUUCUGGGUUAAGGGCUCACCGGUUUCUUGCCAUUCAGAUGCUGAGGUGAGCUUUCUUCCUUGAUUGCUUGUGAGAUGGAUUUGGAGGUGGUAGAAAAAGUUUUUAACCGUGACUAUUAAUUAAAAUUGAGAAAGUGCAAAUUCUUUUAGGUUCUAAUUUGGUUGCUUAAUAUUAUUUUGAAGAUAUGCAAAUUAAAACGUUUCGUUUUGAUGGAUGAUAAUGGAAAGAUAAAUUAUAUGAUUUUGCUUGACUGGAAUUCAAUAUUGAACUAGUUUUAACUUUUAAAUAUUUUAUUUGUCAUAACAAGAAAAAAAAUGCAGUCAUUGUUUGCAAUAUUUACUGCUUCAUGACAACAGAUAAACUCACAAGCUUCAUGCAAUUAGUGAAUUGAUUUGACCAUUUAUUUUCUUUGGUACAUCUUUAUUAGCAGUAAUUAAACUCUAGCAUCAUUAUUUUCACUCAUUGCUUUAAGAAGAGGAAGCUUUUUAAGCUUCAUUAUUGACAUUUAUGUUGGUGUGUUCACUCUUAGACUCUCGGUCAUCAAGAUAAUGCUGGUAGACAUGUGAAAGAUAACAGCUAGAAUCGGAAUAACAGGCAAUGCAACAGCACUUACAGAGUUCGAAAAUAAAGAAGACACCUCAAAAGGCAGUGCUGUGCUUCCAAUGGUGAAACCCUGCCAUAGUAUGCACAUCCAUACUAAAACCAUGAUAUAUGAUGUCUUUCCUAGUUCAUAUUCUUCCAUUUCUCCCUUUAGACUUUUCCAUUCUCCGGUAACAAAAAGUCCCACCAUGAUUGCACUUGAUGCGACUAGUGACAGAUAAAACGAUUCCCUUUUUAUGACCUUCUGAAAGCAGAAAUGCGUCAGAGAAAGGUACAACCCGUUUCCUGCUGAUGCAACAAUGGUGCAUAUGAACCCGAGCACGCUCUUCCCUCUUGAAACUCCAUUUGGAGUUGACGAGUCUUCAUGAGACACGAGAAGGAUUAGAGAAUUGAUUACGGAAGGGGUAAACUUUUGUGAAUUGAGAAAAUAAGAGAAGAAAGCAUUGAAAGCUAACUGUUAUGCAUAGAUGAGUGAAUAUUUAGACACGGGAAGGUAUCACAACCCCAUCGAGUAAAGAAAGCAGUAUGUUGCUACAAGUAGGCCAAUGCAGACAUAAAUCGAUGCGAGAACCAGGGCGGAUGGUGGGGGAACUGUGCCAGAAUUGGUUGCAGACGGAGUUUUUGAGAGACAAGAAGCAAUAGUAAAGAAUGAGAAUAGGGAAAGCCUGCGAGUCGCAUAAGUGUUGCUAGCCAUUGGCUCUUUCCACUUUUCUCAUAGUACAGUCUUCCCAACAACAUAGCGAUUGACUGGCCAGAAAGCACGAAGAGUACAUACACACCUAUCCGUAGCCAAUGUUUAUAGUUUUUGGGCGCUAUUGACGACGGGUUUGUUGAAACCGUAGUUUGUUCCUUCGAGUCGGUUCUUCAUUCUCCUGAACUGGUAAGAAAAUCUCACAAAGGAAUUCACUUAUGAUGCCUACAUCGGUGUUUUUGUGGUAAAAGUAUCGUGGAGGUUCCUAUGUUAAGAGAUGAAUUGUAUUUUGCUCCUAUUCAAAAAAUGAGUAAAUAAAGUAUUAUAUAUUAUAUAUUAUAUCAAAUAGUAAAUUGAUUCUGUUAAAAAUUUUAUUCAUUUUCUUUGUUAAAAAUUAGUCCCGGUACGUUAACAUCAUGUCCAAUUUUUAAUAUAAAAAAUUGAUUAUUACCGAACCGUACUAAAUCGGUUUGGAUUUCGAUUUCUAUAUUGUUUUUGAGCUUUAAGCUUUUGGACUUUAUUAAGGCAAAACUGUUUUUUGAUUUAAACUUUUCAAUUUUAAUUAAAUAAAAUUAUCUUUGUUUUUAUGUUUCUUAGACACUAUUUGACAAUUAAAUUAUUUUUAUUAUACAAAAAAUCUCAAUCAAUAUAUUUAUCGCAAAAAUAAUUUGUAAAAUCUAUAAUUAUAAAUGUUUAUUAAAAAUCUAAUUAAACCUUGAUUUAAUCACUCUCAAUUUUUACUAAAAAUAAUCAAAUGUUAAAUUAUUUGUAUUUUAUAACUUUUAAUGUGUAAUAACAGUAAAAAAACAACAAUAAUGAUAGAAAAAUAAGAAUAUGAUACGUAGUAAGUAAAAAAAAUUGAUGAGCACUUGAAUUCUUGGAAGUUAUAAAAUAAGCAAUGAAUUCAUGAGAUAUUGACACUUGAAUUUUUAAAUGGUUUUUUUUGUUUUUAACUUUUCGAUGUUCAGUGGAAUAAAUCAAAACUGAAUCGAAUUGAUGUGGUUUAAUGACAUCAUCUAACCAAAACUGAAUUAAACUAAAUUUUUUAUUUGACUCGAUUUCUCAGUUUGGUCGGUUUUGUUUGCUCAGCCCUAUCAACAUAAGAUAUACGUGAAGUCUGGCAAAACAUUAUCAGUUUUUUACCUGGAUAAAUGAGUGAAUUUUUUUUUACAGAAAAGGACCAAAUUGCUCUUUGACUUUAUAGCAUGAAGAUUAAUCUGGUCCACUUUUUAAGUUAGAGGGGACAUACAUAUAAUUUGACUCCUUACUAAAUAACCUCUCCGUUAUAACUUUAUUCAGUGUUUUUAUUAACUUUAUAAAAAGGUUUAAUUUUUCUCCAAUUUUUAUAUUGAUUGAAUUUUUAAAAUUUAAUUCUUUUUAAUUUUAAUUCAAGAAAUAUUUUCUCUUUUAUAAUUUAAAAUUUUAAUUAAUAACACUGUUAAAUUGAAGUUGUGAAUUGCAAUUGCUGACACAAAUUCAAAUGAAGUAAAUUUAACGAAUGAUGUGCUUAGCCUACAUGCUACUCCAACUUUUCUUUUAAAUGUUUAUGUACAAAACCUAUAUUUAAUAUAUGUUGAAACACAAAUAUAGGAUAUGACUUUUCAACUAUCCUUCAAAUAUAUAAAAAUUACUUUUAAAAAAUUUAAAAUAUCCAUAUCUAAUGCUUAUACAAUGAGUAACAUAGUAGCUAUGUAUGUGUAUUUAACCAACCUGUGAUUGGCUAUGGCAGUGGCUUACUUCUCCCAUGUUAAAAGACGAAGAAAGCUCCUCCAAGCAAGAUCUAAAUUAUUGUGGAAAGGAAAGGGCAAAGAGACAAGAUUAUAAAGGUUUUUCUUUUUUUCUUUCUUUUUUUUCUUUGUAACAUAAAAUCAACACAAUAGGACUCCAAAGAAAGUUGAUUUAUGCAUUGUUUUAAUGAUAAAGAGAUGCUCUAAAUGAUUUCGAGGUUAGAACUUAUUUAAAAGUUUUAAAUUUGAAAAGGAAUCGAGUUUAGUCCGCGUCAAGGAACAUUAACUUAAAUACAUAUUGUAUUUCCUUUAAAAGCGUAUAAUUAAUUAGAGAUUUUAGGUUUAGAAUAAAGAUGGUAAAAAUAAAUUUAAAAUUGAUGAGUUUAGAGUUAAUCUGACUUGAUAAGGUCGAGUUUUUUUGUUUUGAAAUUUCGAGUAAGUCAAGCUAAGUUUAGUGUGAAACUACCUUGCUCAACUUAAAAUAUUUACGAAAUUACUCUUCUAUAUUUUAAUAUUAAUUAGAUUAAAAAAUUCUUAAAAUUUAUUGCUACUAAUAUCAUUUUACCAUAUUUACUCCCAUUUCAUACUAGCUAUUCUUCUCCUCUCUUUUUAAUUUAUUUUCUCAAGUUUCUCUUUCAUUUUCAUUCAUUAUUUUUUCUUUUGUGAUGUAGUGUAUAUUUUUUUACUGAGUCAAAUCCCCACUAAAAGAAUGGUUCCAAUGUGAAGUUGUGCCAAUUUCUUUUUAAAUAUUUUACUUUAAUUUAAGCUUGAGUGAAAUUAAAUGGUGUUUGGGUAUACAAUUAAUUUUUGGGUUUAAAAUGGGUUAAAUUUUUUAAAAUUAAAAUUAAGUUGAAAUCGGGGCAUGAUAAUAAAGUAUCAGGUCAGGGUCGAACAGGAAAAAAUCCGACCCGCCCCACUAUAUAUUAGAAAUAAAAAUUCAAAUCCAAAACUUGCAAUAAAAUUUUGUCUUACUGUUUAAUCAAUAUCUAUUCUGGUUUGUUGUCCAUAUAUGUUUUAUAAAUGUAAUAAUCAGUUUUUUUAUAUAAUGUUAAAAACAAUCCAUAGGUCCUAAUUCAUAAAUAGAAAGAUAAUACACUUCAACGCAUUCAAACUCACGUCCUUCUAUAUUGACAAUAAUAUCCAUACCAAUUGAAUUAAAACUUAAUCGGCAUGUAAUAACCGAUUAUUAUAUAAAAAAUUAUGUAAAAAAAUGGUUGUGGGUUAUUUUUGGUUUUAAAUUGUUAUAUUAGAAAUUUUAUAUAAAAAUAUAAAAAUAGCUCAUAAUAAAAUAAUUAAUAUUAUUAACUAUUUUCAUUAAAAUGUUAAUAUAAAAUUUUCUUUAAAACACCAAUUUUCAUCUCGUCAUGUUAAUAUUAAACAUAUUUAUGGGCCGUUGGGUCCGGGUCAAUCCGAUUAGUACGUUUAAGAGGAUUAAGUAAGGCUAUCAGUAUCACACUUUUAUAAAUGUAAUAAUUUUGUUUUGGUAUUGAUAGUAUCAGUAUUUGUAUUUUAGUAUCUCCUUUCAUUUAUAUAAAUGUAGCCUAAUUUUUAAUUUCUUAAUACCAUAUAUUAUAUAUAAAUGUGAAUAUAGAUCAAUUACAUGCAUAUAAAAUUUAUAUGCAAAUAUAAAUUUUAAAUUUAUUAAAUAAAUUCAAUAAUUUAAAUGAUUAUCGUUUACUUUUAAAUGUAAUUAUAAAAAUAAAAAUAAUUUAGAUAAUAAAUAUUAAAAUUUGAUUUAAAAUAUUUUGUAACAAUAAAUAUAAGUUUGUAUAUAACUAUAUAGACCAAUAUUAAUCAUCGAAAUACAUUGAAAUAGUUGAAAUGCAACAAAAUUUUUAUUAGAAUAUAACUAAAACUACUUGGCAAUGGUUUAGAAAGUGGACCCCUUGGUUUAAAUGGUUAAAUUACUAUGUUAAUCCUUCUUAAAAAUUAUAAUUUAAUUUAAGUGUUUUAGUAUAAAAUUUAUGCUUUUACCCCAAGUUUUUUUAGUUUUAUUUUGGCCUCCCUAACACCAAAUUCUCUCUCUAUAUAUAUUAACCCAAAAUGAAAAAUUUUCCAUUAAUUUUUUUAAUUUUUAAAAUUAUAUUUUUAACCCUUUAAAUUUUAUUUAUUUACUUAUGACCCUUGUAAAACAAUUUAAAAUGCUAAAAUGGCAUUACAUAUAACAUAGGGAUAGGGCGAUAAAGUAUGAUGUAGGUCAAAAGUCCUUCACUUCUAUUAUAACAUGAUGAUUGAAGUAGCAAUGGUAAAUUAAAACUAGUAGCUGUAAAAGCAAAAUAGACAUGUUUAGGCUACAAUGUGUUUAAAUCAUUAAAGUUGGCAUCUAAUGAUUAUGGGUGCGUGGAUAAAGCCUGGAUACAAACUAUCAGCUGGUGCCAACAGACCAUCAAGUUUAUCUGCUACCUGCAGGGUGGACUCUUUUUUGGUGGGUUGAUAUUCUACCUAAGCCUGAUAAUGGGCCCGAUUAAAUCAAAUUAAUACAAAAUUUUAAGUUUAGAUUUAGUUGAAUCUGAAAAACAUGUCAAAAAUUUUAUCUAAAUUCAACUCAAAUAAAAAAUGUUAAACUCGAGCUCGGUAUCGUAUUAUUUUUAUAUAAAAAUAAAUUUUAAAAAAUAUAAUAUAUAAAAUACACUAAAAAUGUUUCCUACAAAAUUAAAAAUAUAUUAAAAAAUAUUUAUACUUAAAUAAUAAUAAGAUAGUUGCAACUUAACAGACAAAUAUCUUUAAAAUAAUAGCAAAAUUAAUAAUAAAAUAAGAAUUAUAUAAUAUCCAAAUAAUAAUAAUAAAAUAAUAGUAAUAUAAUAGCAAAAUGACAACAUAACAUUAAAAUGAUAGUAAAAUAACAAAAAAAAAUUCUAAUAUAAAUUUGAGCUAGACUGGCCUAAAUCAAAAAAUCUUAUUUGAAGCAUAGCCUAUUAAAAAAUGUGUCUUAUUUUUUUGUCUAAAUUUAUUUAUUGGGCUUAUAUUUUUAUCAAAAUCUUCCUACUUUUUUACAGACCUUCAAGACAAGUCUCAUUAUCAGGUCUAAUUCCUGCCGUCAUCAACCAUGCAUCAUAGCCAACUAGCCAUGGCGAACCCUUUAUUACCAGACCACGGGGAGGAAGAAAUCGAACCAUGACUUGAGAGCCACCGGCCAGUUUGGUCUCAAAUGAUCCAAGUAAAUUAGCCCAUUUCUCAAUUCAACCCUUUUUCACGGGCCCCCCUUUUCUGUUUUCAAAUUUCUUUCAUUUUUCAUAAAUAUUUUUAAUAUCUGUAUUUGUAUACAAUUUUUUAAAUAUUCAUACUUAAAAAAUUAAAAAAAUUAUGUAUUAAGAAAUUACCAUUUAGGGUCUAUUUAGGUUUUUUUAUUUAUUUCAAGUUAUAAUAUAGCUAUAGUAUUUAAUUUCAUUAUCAUGACUAUUUUUACACUACCUACAUAAAACUAAAAUUAUUACUGACCCCUUUUAACUCAUAUUUAUUUUAUAAAAAUCCUAAAUUUUCAAGCUCGAUUAAUUUAGAUCCAUUAUAAAAAAAUCAACAAAGUUAAUAAAUAAUAAAAAAUAAUAUUAAUUAUGAUAAAUUUUAACUUGAUUAGGCAAAUAAUAAUAUAAUAACUAAAAAAUAAAAAGGACAAUAUAAAAGCUACCAAAAAAAAAAAAAGGAAGAAGCGUCGAUUCCACGAUACACAAAAAUCGUCAAAAACCAGGUGAAGCCGGCCCCACACAGCUUCUUCCUCCCAAUCACGCGUGCAUCCAACCGUCACUUUCCCUUCCGCAUUAUACGGAAAUGCCCUUAAUCCAACGGCUCAUAACUCUCCUCCUUUCACUCCCCCUAACUUCACUUAUCCCUAUAAUAAAUCCCAACCAUUUUUUUUAUAGGAAAAAUUAAUUGCUCACACACCCAACUUCGGUCUCUUAAUUUCAUCUGCAACUUCAUUCAGCGCAAAUCUAGGGAUUUUUUUUUUCUUAUAGCACCAUAUCCCCCUAUCCCUUCUUAUUUUUUGGCUGCUUCCUCUCCAAUCCUAAGAUUUAUUUUGUAAGGAUUUUAAUCUUAUUUUUUUGCCAGAUUUUUUUCCUUAUUUUGAGCUAUCAUAAUAUUGUGGCUUAAGUAAUAUAGCUUUUUUUUUGGCUAGUAUAUAUGCUUCUUUCCGUGUUCUUUCUUUCAUUUCCUUUGCAAUUUAUUUUUUAGUUUUACUGAGAAAUUUACUAUUUUUUUUUUAAAAAAAAUAAUGUUUUCUUUUGAUGGAAAGUGAGUUUCUUUUUUCUUUUUAAAUUCAGCUAUUUUUAAUGUUUAUUUUUCUUUUUGAUUUCUCUUAGAUUUGUAUCAGCUACUAAAUAGAACUUCAUUCAUUGCCUUUUUCCUUUAUGAUUCUUAGAUCCACUGAGCUUGAAUUAUUAUUGAGCCCUUUGUUUAGUUGAUUUAUUUUUAUUGAAGAUCCCUUGGUUUAACUGCUAUUUCAAUAUUUUUAAAUUGGUGCUAAUUCUUUUUUUUUUCUUUUGGUUGAAGGCUAGAAUUUAUUAAUCACUUUGGGGGUUGAACUGAAGAUAAACAAAAUGCCGUGGUCUUUGGUUUAUCGCGUUCGAAUGGUUGUUUUCUUUCUUAUCAUACUGUAAUUUAUUUUGGGUAAGUUUUGUGAAUCUAGAACUUCUAUGAAUUUUAAUUCCACUUGUUAUAAUUCGGUUGGGGUGACGAUUAAUUGCUUAUGUUGUAAUUUUGCUGAAUAAAAAUGUAGUUUAAAUCCUAAUGUGCAUUGUGUUUGUAUGUCAUAUUUAAUAAGGAAUUAUUAUAUUGUUGUAGGUGAAUUUCAAUUGCAUUUGGAAUUGGAAGGGGAUUCAAUUCAAUCAACUUAGCGUCGUUGGAUAUUAAUAAAAUUUUGGUUGGAGAGGUUUGAGAAUGUACAUUGCAGCAACCAUAAAGAGAUAUCGUGCAGUUAAGGAAGUUGGGAAGAUUAAAAUGAGCGUUGGUGUUAUUGCAUACUAUCAAUUAGUUCAAGUUUGUCAGGUAAAUUUGUUUUUCUUACCUUUUUCAGAUUUCUGUGUCGCUGUUGCAGUGAGUUCUUGGAAAUGCAUAAAAAAAAAACUGUCUUAAAUAUAUCCAUGUGUGCCAUGUCAACUGUGGUUUUAUUACUAAUUUUGUGGUCACAUGAUUUUAUUAAGUUGGUAUGCCUCUUGGUUUUUAGUUUUUCAACUGACUGAUUAGGAAACUAUGUCUUCUUAAUUCACCCAAGAUAUAAUUAAUGCACUAUAACAAUGUGCACGGACCAAGCACAUUUGUGAACACUUAUGCAUACAUAUUCAGGUAUCACAGUGAAGAAAAAUAAGUUAUUUGUAAAUCUGAGCAAUGCAAGACAUUUUUCAUUGACCUUUUUUUGUAAAUCUGAGCAAUUGUGAGCACAGUGAAUCUGGACAUGGAGAAAACUUGUAAACUUUUAACCAUUUUAACGAGCUUCCUAUGGAUCUUUUCAUUUAAUCAAGUAAUAUCAUAUAGAUUUGUUGGCAAAAGAAUAUUUUUGUUGUUCUCUGGACAUAAUCUCUGUGUGCAUUUUGUUAUAGUUCUAAUUAUUUUUUAUUUUGUUAUCACAGGCCGAGUAUUUCCGUCAGUUGCUAAAACCAGUUACGUAGUCUAGUAGUUAGCAACUCUUGGAAAUUGGGAUCUGGGGGAGUCUUCCAUUUGGUUGUUUUAUACAUAGGCUUUCAAAGUAUGAAAUAUCUGAUAUUGUUGAUGGGAAAUUGGGGAUAGACAGCUCUUGUCUUGUUUUGAUGGCAAUCCACUAGUUUUAGUCUGUAGUCUUUCCGUAAUUAUAGCUAUAAACCUCCUUCCAACUUAAAAAUAAAUAAUUUUAAGUUCAAAGCCAAGUUUUAAACUUCUCGUUAAGUAGAAAAUCAGAUGCAGAGUGACCAACAAUUUUACCCCCAAAAAGCAGUGCCCAUACUUGCAGAUCAAGUGGGCAAUAAUUACAUGCAUAUACCAGUUGCAUCUGCUUUUGGACCAGUUUUUCCUCCAUGUGCAAAACCCUUGCCGCCCCUCCAUGGCAUUGAGUUUCAACCCUCUGAGGUUUGUCCCAAGAACUUUGUUAUUUUCAAUCAGACUGAUAAUAGGAACCAAGUCUUGUUCAACCCGGCUAUCACAAACAAGUUUCAUGGUAAUGGAUUAAAUGUUUUUGCAAAUUACAAUGAUGGAAAAUAUGAGAGGAAAGAUGUUUAUGAUGUGGGAGAAGAAACAUCCUCUUUUCUGAAAGAGGAUUCGGAUGAUAUUGAUGCACUCCUCAGCUCGGAAGAGGAAGAACAAGUCGAGUAUGAUGAGGAAGAGGUUAGCACAGCCCGGACCUUUGGAAAUUAUGAAUUUGACACUGCUGAUUCUCGCUCUGCGCAUGGCUCGAAACCAAAAAAGAACAAGUCUUCCUCGUAUACUCUGAAGUCUUCUGGUAAUAGCAGCUGUUGUGACCCUAAAAUUAAGCGACUGAAAAUGAAGAAAAUGGUGAAGGUUUUAAGGGGAAUCGUUCCGGGUGCUGAUGAGAUGGAUACUGUUGCUGUUCUCGAUGGAGCUGUUAGGUACCUCAAGUCUCUCAAGGUUGAAGUACAGAAGCUCGGAGUUGGGAAUUUCAAAUAUGAAGAUUGAACCCAAAUCAUAGUAAUGAAGUUCUCACCUUUGUAUACCUCUCCAUAACUGGCCUCUCUCUGAUGGUUUGCAGCCUAGAAAUAAUGAAGACAGGUAUUUAGAAUCAAUAUUUGUGUUGUAUGCAUGAACUCUGGUUGUGUAAUAUGAAUACCACCAAGUACCAAGUUUCUAGCUGCCUGUAAUAUCAUUAUGGGACAAGCAGUUGCUUUGAAUGUUAUUGUACUAGUAGUUUCUACUUUCAACUCUGUCUUAUUUCUGUAUUUUACGUACUUUAUGUUUAUUCUCAGUUAUGAAUAAAUGUUACAAGAUUACUUCUUGUUAAACCUGUCAUGAGAGAAUCAAUUAUAUUUAUGUAGUGCAUGAUCCGAUUUGUCAGUCUUUGCUUUGUGAUGAGAUGUUAUUGGGGGACAUGAGUGUUCAUUGUGAUGCAUGCAAUUGCAGACUACUUUUUUCUCUCCCCACAAUCCUUGUGACCGGUAGUAGGUACGUAGUGGUUUAUAGUGGCGCACCGCCCUACCUUUUUGCCUGUUUUCUAGUUCCUGGCAUGUAUUGAGUUACUUAUAAAUGAAGCGAGUCCAAGUAAACGAAUUGUUGUUUAUGUUCUUUUUUUUAAGUUAGUUGUGUUCGUUGUUAAGAAUUUCAAAAUUAUUUUUGUAGUUGUUUAUUUAAAAAUACACAUGUUGGUGAGUUUGUUUGUAAACAUUAAACGGACAUAUUUACAAACAUUAAAUAUAUGUAUUUGUAAACAUGAAUAAAUAGUUGAACAUGUACAUGAAUAAUAACAAAUAAUAUUUAAACAUCUAUAUUUAAAUUUUGGCAAAAAAUAUGUAUUUAGAUGUAAAAAUAAUUAAGUAUAAAUUUUAAUAACUAUAUUAUGUAUAAGUAAAAUAAGCACAUAAGUAAUAAUAUUACUAAUUAUAUAAUAAUCAAACAAUAAAUAAUUUUUAAACAAACUUAUUAAUGGACAUGAUUGAAUUGAACAAAAAUUUGAAUUAUUCAUUGAACUCUUUAUUCCAUAUUAUAAAUCAAAAAGUGUUGGAUGUAGUGGAAGAUGUUUAAGGGAUUUUAAAGGGAAAACAUAAAUUCAAACUUAUUAUUGAAAAAGAUAGCAAAAUCCUAAACAUGGAUUGUAAAAUGUAAAUUGUCUAGUGUAUAAACGUAAAUUGUCAAUGUGUAUGAGCAUGUUGGAUCAACUUGUAUGGUGUAGUUGGAUUUCCUUUGGCAUCACUCAUCAUUUGUAACUAAUUAGUUUUCAACAUUCAAUUGGUUUCCUCAGCUUUAUAUUAUGUUUUAUGGGAAGUGGUGGAGACUAGUGGAAUAAAACAAGUGGAAACUGGAGGGAACUAACUCUUUCCUCUGACUUGAAUAUGACCAAAAGUAAUGGCUACUAAAUAAAAAAGGAGGCCCACGAAAGGUGCUAAGCAUGUCCUUCAUUAAAUUGGCAACCCACAAGACCCAUGCCGCAGAUCAGCCAAUAGGGUUCCAACGAUGCAAGGGUGGACACAGUUGACUCUCGGUGAUUGUGAGGCUCCUUUUAGUGAAACAGGCUGGCUUAUUUUUGCAGCAAGUGACGCCUAGAAUCAACACCAUAAUCAUUAUAUAUGCCAACAUAAAUAUAAAAAAGUGUACAUAUAUGGGGUUGAGGCAAGACAUGAGAGGAGGACGAAUAAAAGGAAGCUGCUAAUGGUACCCUACAGAGUGUGGUGACUGCUAAAGUGGCAAAUCAAAUUGUCUUUACAAUUGGACCAGCUAUGGGAAGAAAAUCAUCUAGCAUUCCGUUGCUAUUUACAUUCUCUAAAAUGUCAAAACAUGGCAAUGGCAACCUUUCGGAUGGUAUUCCGACUGCCUUGUAAAGUCAGCAACUGUACCCUUUUGAUCACUCUGCUCAUUUCGGCAAUCUGAACUCUUUAUUUGAUCUGGUUGUUCUGAUUCCGAGCUCACAUUGCCCGCUUAAGAAGAUAACUGCACGUAUUUUUGUAUGAGAAGAUCAAUUAUAUAGGACUACCUCUUGAUACCUGCACUCACGAAGUUCAAGUCACCUAGCAGUGGGGCGCAGUAUAAAAGAUGUUGCAGUUCAUGCAAUAAUAUCAACCGCAUGCAAGUCACUAUGGAAACACAUCAAGAGGCGAAAGAGCAAUGCUCCAUGUAUCGUUUUAAACUGGCCUUGUACAGAAACAAGAAUCAUUCUUCAGCAACAGUUGAAUAAAAAUAUACCUAACUGAUGUAAGAUUUGGUGACUAUUGAAUAUGUACCUAUUGUUUCUCGAAACUGAAAGAACUUGACAUCAUCCAAUCUUUACAUUUCUAAAUGGGGUAAAGCAACAUUUAGUCCUGAACUUGGUAACUUUUCCCAACUUAGUCCUUGAACCUUUUUUGGUCUACAUUGGUACUGGAACCUAACAACUUUUAUAAAAAUUUAUAAUUUUUUAUAAAAAAUUUAGGUGAUGACGUGACGUAAUCUCAGAAUAGUCAUACAGGGACCAAAAUCGGAAAAAGUUGCAAGUUCCAAGAAUAAUGUGGACAAAAAAAAAGUUACCAAGUUGGAAAAGUGGCUAAGUUCAUGGACUAAAUGUUGCCUUAUCCCUUUCUAAAUAUACAUCAGCACAAGCUAUCGGUUUUAAUUCUCAGCUACCAUUGACUCGAUUAGCAUUUGGGUAGUAUUUGGUACAAACCAGUCCCUGAUCAUAUCAUAUCAGAACCACUCCAUGAGGUAUAUCUGAUAUAAAGAUAAUAUAAUGCUAAGAAAUUCCUGGUACUGGUAGGUAGCAAUAGCAAGAUCGCAUCUCUCAUCUAAAUACAAGUGAAAGUUGAACAAUCAGGCUGACAUCGAGAACAAAAAUAUGCAUGAAUAAGCAAAUUCUGCAUAAUCCUAAUGUAUAAACAAAUAAGACAUGAACCUGAUUCUGUGAGCUUGCAGAGGUAAUCCAGGUCUGAGGACGGCAGAUUUGAGCUGAACUAUCAGUAAUGAAAGUUACUGUCGUUGAUUCUUGUUGUGUGUUAGCUAUUGACAUGGGCGGUAAUUCUCUCAUGACCCAUAAUACAAAAGCUGAGGGAACCGAUGAACCUAUAAAAGCAAAAUGAAGAUCACAUUAUAAACUCAACACCGUGACAUACUUUUUUCCAUAAGGCAGCCAAAAGCAUGAAAAGAUAGGACAGUAGAGCUUUUAUGUUUCACUGUUUCAAAUUCUGUUGUCAAGAAAGCAUAAUCAUGGCUAUUGCUAGAUGAGGCAGAAUAUUCAGAAACAUGAAAAUGCACAUAAAAUAUUUCUAAUAAAGAUUUGAUGCUAGAUAUGGAUCAAAUAGUAUAAAAUGUUUAGGAUAUUCCAUGCUCUAAAUGCUGAUUUCCAUAAACGACAAUUGGAAACCGUUAUUAGUUUAAUUAGGAGCAACCUUUGAAACUUAAGGGAGAGUUGAAGGAAAUACCUAUAAAAUAAUAUAAAAUAAGUAAAAGAGAAGUAUAAACACCAUCUAUGUGCAGUUCAUGCCAGUGAUACAGCACCUGCAAUCACAAAAACACGAUUUAAGUUCAAUAAGCUAGAAAAUAAAACACGGUAAAAACAAACAGUAGAGAGCUGUGUACCGGAAUAUCAGUAAAAAGAGCCACUAAAGCACUUGAUGUAAAACUUAGAACAGAUACAAUGGCCAAACCUGCAACCUACGUAAACCACAUGAAAUAUUUAAGGCAAAGAAAUAAUUUAACUAUAAAGCCACCGGAUAUUUGCAUCAAAGGUAAACAUAAAGGCAAAGGAAUGGUAAAUAUUCUAACUUGAGAACAAAAUGAGAAGAACAAAGAAAAUGGCACGAAAAGUUGAAAACAUGAAGGUUAGUAUUACAAUACCUUCCAGAUCUCAGAUGAAGCUCUUUCAGAUCUAACAUUCCUCAUUUUCCGACAUAAUAGGAGCCCUGAGCAUAAGAAAGAAUAAAAACAUGACUCUAUUUAAGAGAGAUGAAAAUAUGUAAGAUAAAAGGACUCAUCUAUUCUGGUGACAUUUAAGAAGUACAAACUAGUCAAUUGGACUAACCAAUAAAAUUUUCAGACAUUUAGGCCAGCCAUAAGUCAUAUUAUCCAUCAAACUAGAAUGCUGUUUUUGAUACAAUGCCUACUUCUACCCAUAAUACCUCUCCAACCCUUAAAUCGGAGGAAAAAACGAGCUUAAGCAUACUUGACCCCACAUCCUCCUAAUUGCUACAAUGGCAACGGUGCCAACUGAGCUACAGCUUAAUCAGCAAACUAGAAUGCAGUUAGAUACUAUGGAUGGGGGAGCUGACACAUAUGACUUCUAGUAUUUGGUUCAAAUAUGAGGAACAAUAAAGUCUGGUUAGCCUGAUGUUAGGCAUUUUUGCAAUCACAAAGUUAUCCCGAUAGGGGAAAAAAUUUCAAAUAAUAUAAAAAGAAAAUUAGAAAUUUAUGAAGAAAAAGAAAAGUAUAUAUAAAUGCUAAUUGCUUACCAUAACAUGCUAAUGCUCCACCUAGCAAUAGUAUUGCUGUAGCAAAAAGAUCUACAUAAACCUGCAGGAGAUAGAUAGUAAUAAAAGAAAUAAAGAUCAGAAAGAAAUUCCAUAAGUACAAGUUUUCAUUGUCUCUUUUAAUUUUCUAAGCAAUAAACUAAAAGGAAAAAAAAUUGCAAACACUUUCUCCACCAAAACCUUCUCUCUGACAAUCAGACUUAUUGAUGGUACUCUAAGAAAACAAAAAUAGCUCAAAAGAAAAUAGCUUCUUAGACGUUCAUACCCGGGACACGGUUGAUGAAUCAAUAGGAUUUUCUUCCAUUCCAAUCCAGAUUAGCACGGCAAAUGUCAUCAUAAGAAGAAAUACAAGAAAAGUAACCUGGUCAUAGAAAAACAGAAUUAAUGAGACCAAAAACAUUAGGUAACAGCAAGAAUAAUAGAAACAUUCAAAAUAAUUUCGCAUGAAGACUGUGACAAGAAACAAAAGAAGAAAAUAUAUCACUGUACCAGAAUCACUAUCUUUUGACGGCUUCCAACAUGAAUUAAACGGAAAGGAUAACAUGAUCUGCGACUAUCUGCAGGCGAAGACCUUGGUCUAUUUAAAGAAUUUUGUAUUAAAGCUUCUAGAAAUCCCUGUUCAUCAUCCUCUUCCUCUUCAUCAUCUGCCUGGUGACAGAGGUCGACCCUAUAAAAAAUCCGCCAGAGAGACAUGGGGUAUAGCUGAUGAAGAAACACUAAUUUUCACUCUGAAAGAAAAUAUGAUAGUAACUAAAACUAUCAAAGGAUAUUAUCCUGACUUAUGAAAACACUAAGCUUCAGUACCACUGCAAUGGAUGACCCAGGGAAAAGUAAAAAAUAAAAAUAAAAUCUGUCCAUUAUAUUAAUUGGUCAAGACAUCAAGCCACUAAAAUCGAUCUCCCUUUUCUUUUUUUCCAUUAACAAAAGAACAUAUCUAGAUUCUUGCAAAUAUCUCUGAUUUUAGCGAUCACAUUUUCCUUAUAUCUGAAAAAGUUAUCUAAGAUACAUGACCAUAUGUCAUCCAAAGAAAUGCAAAUAAGUUAGUUAAAGAGAAGACAUACCAGAAUGACAAAAGUAGAAGAAAUGUUGCAAAUAAUAGAAUUCUGGGGAAGGCUGCAACAAUAUUUGCAUCGGUUAGUGCUUAAACUAGUCAGCUCCAGUGAAAGAAAUAAGUGUGGGAUCUUGUUACAAGCAUCUAGACAUACCCAUGGCUACAAAACCACAAGAGUAAGACCAGCAUAGCCACCCUCGGCAUGCAGCAACAAGACUCAAGACAAAAUAAAUGAAGUAACCUGCAUGUAGGUGAUCAUUUGGCAGUUCAGUUUGAAUGAUUUAAAUCAUGCUAUGCAUGCAAGGUCAAAAGGAUAACAUGAGUGUAAAAUAUAAAUUCUUACCAGUAUUAGUAGUUCCAAUCAGUAUAUGAAACACCUGUUAUAGACAUUCAUUUGGGUCAAGAACAAACCAGUACAUGUAGAAAAAGAAAUCAACAUAGUAACUUUUUUGUAACACGAAUUAGAGAAGAAAAACAAGUAGGAAAGAAAAGGAGGAAAGGGGGGAAAAGCAUUAACACAUUAGUCAUAUAUAUAUCUUUUGCUUUACAUAUAUGCACACGAAAGCAUGGACCUUAAUAAACAUCGUCUUGACCUCAACCCCGAGUUUAUCUUCUGCCUCAACUGGACUAUAUGUAAGUUUGAUUAUUUCUUUUCUCCAUUCCAAAAUUUCCCAAAUGGUACAGCACAUUUGCUGAUUGUCCCAUACAAGGGUCAGAUAAUAGAUUAACAAUUUAACUUCAUUUUUACUUAAUUAGGUUCCUAGUUUUCAAACUUCGUCACCAAACAGCUUACAGCAAAUUAUUAGUAAUUAUUUAAUGUUUUAUGACACAUUCCUUGGAGAAUAAAAAUAUACAAGAUUAAAAUGAAGUACAGGAGUCCAACCGUGGAUUUUCUGCUAGUGAUUGAGGCAUACACAUCCAUUCUUCUGGUAUUUGAAGAAAGUGUAGAAAUUACAAAAGCAACCAAGACAAUUGUGAAAAAGUUUAAUUCUAGGGAAUGUUGGUCAAAUAAAUUUCUAAUGCAACGCAUGCUGUCAACUCUAGGGCCCGAGUUUUUGAGCUAAUGCAUGCUGCAACUGCAACUUAAUUUUAACCUACCAGUUUCUCCAAGUUCAAGCAGUGUCAGAAGAGUCACCGACAUUCCUUUGUUCGAACAAUUCACCAAGCUCUGCCUUAAGGGGUCAGGUGACUCACAGAUCAAAUCGAGGUGCUAGUCCCCACUCAACUAGCUGGUCUGAUGACAUUCGUGUUAAACUAGCUAGCCUAUGAAUUAGUUUGCAUUCAAAUAGAAUGAUAUUUUAACUAAAACGUCAUAGAAAGCAACAUAACACUUACUUUUUGGCGAGUCCAUCCUAACUGUUUAUUCCUUGAGCGGAUCCGUGCUAGCUGACCAAGAAGUGGUGAGAGUAAACAGUUGUUACAAACAACAAACCAGAAAGAAUGAAUUGAAAUAAUAUCCCCGUAAUAAUUGAUAACAUCAGACUAACAACAUUCUGAUGUACAAUAUUAUCUUCUGUGAUACUGUCUAUGUAAAAGACAUAUUUAUCAGCACAUAUUCAUAUCGCGGUCCAACAUUGACACCAAUACACCUACGCAUGAUGUCUAUGGAUGUUAAAUUCACUGCUUUGACACAACAUAAAAUCAAUAUUGUGAUCCAACACAGCAAACUGCAGACGAUUAUUUGUUUUUCAUAGCAACAAAACAGUCUAAAUAUAGAUUACAAGCUACAUGAAUAUGAUUCAAAGAAAAAGUAGCAGAUAGAACAUGUCGGAAGGGUAAAACUUGAAUGCUAUGUAAUUUUGAAGGAUGUCAAAAUUACGGCAGCUCAAACCAGCAGUGUUCUUCUGAAACAAAUAUAGUUGCAAGCAAAAAGGUGGAGCCAAAAAACAAAAAGAGGGAGAAUUGCAGCUAAGAUAUUGAUGGAAAUAGAAGUAAGGUUGCAAAAAACAUCAAGAUAGAUGACAGGCAACAAAGUUAGGGAAAACUGAAAACCUCAGAAUGAGGUCAAUUCAAUCUCUUUAUAGUUUACAUCGUUCUUUCAAACUCAGCUCACGGUAAAAAGAACCCGAGUCAUCUAAGUACAGCUCACUCAACCAACAAUUUUCAGAUUCAAAUUUAGCAUACUGAACCCGAGGAAAACUUUAAGGUUGAUCCUCCCUAUUCGAUAAGGAUCAACCAUUCAUAGGACAUAUUACUCAAGAAUUCCUAAGACCAUGUGCAUUUUGAGUCUAGAGAAAUGUAACUUUCUCGAUGUGCAAGCUAUCCCUAUCCACCUCUCAUUUUCAGUAUAAUGAUAAACAAGCAAACUGUUGCAUCAAAUUUGUAGUUCUGUGUUGGUUUCAAGGAAAAAGCUAACACAAUACCAGUUACACAACAAAAUAAGUAACAAAAAGGGUCUUAAUUCAUGUCUUUAAAAUUAUAAAAUUAAAAACUCAAUCUGUUACUUGAAAAAAAGACAAUGUUCAACCAGUCAUGCCAACAAUCAAGUUCAACACCUUGAAUUACUUUCCCAAUACUAAACGCAAUUGUAUUAGCUAAAAAUGGAAGUUAUUUAACAAUUAAAUACACCAUUACCCUCGUCUAUCAAGUUACCAAAUUUCUAUAACAAUCAAAUGAACAAAAAAAAACAGACUAAGUUGUAAUGCAAAACCCAGAUCAAAACAAUCCAAAAAAAAUAACACAUUGUUACCCACAUUUCCCACAUAUUAUAAAACCAUCCACCAUCAAUUAAAAACUCGCUAAAAACAUAAAAAAAAAUCAAAUUUUUAAACAAAAAAGGAACAAACCUGAGUAAAAGCAAGAAUAGCAAUAAGCACAUCAAAGCAAGCAAAAACCAAGUUUAAUCCAACUAAUUCUUCUGGAAAACUACAAGACCACCCUUUUUCUUCAAACAUUUGCGCCUCUCUAUAACUUUUUUUUUAAUCUUAUUAUUUAUUCACUCUAUUUUCUCUCUUUCUCUAUUAUUUUUUUCUAAGAGAAAGAUUGAAAAUACCCUAAAACACAAUCUACCCUUUUGAACCCAAAAAGUAUAUGACAUGAAAGACUCAAUCUUUCAGAGUAGCUUUCAUGUAAGAUCUCUUGUGGGUGUUUUUCUCUUCUUCUUUUUCCAGGAAAAUAAAAACCCAAUCAACAAAAUUUAUUAAUUUUAGUAUUUAUUAUUAUGUAUUAUCGUGGGAGGGUAAAUUGGAGAAUUUGGAUUGAAAAUUGUGGAAAAAAAGAUACGGUGUUUUGUCAGAGAGCAAACACGCGGGUGGCUUUCAAGGCGUUGAGAAAAUACUAAUAAUCAAAUCCCUAAUUAGAAUGCGAGAGUGCGUUAGUGACCCCUUUUUGACCUAAAAAGAUUUGACCUUUCUUAGUCCCCUAAAAUGACAUUUUUAAUUUACUUUCCCUUUCUUCUUCUUCUUUAUUUUCCUUAUUUUAUAUUAAAAUAACAAGGAGUUUUGUGGAAUUCCAAAAAAAUUAAUAUAUGAAAUAUUUUUUAAUUUAAUUGUUUUAUUACAAUUUGAUUUUUUUUAAUUCUUUUAAUAUCAAUUUUUUAACUAGUUUUAUUAAUGAUUUUUUAAAUAUGUAAACACGUGAGAUAUACAUAUUGAUACCUUUUAUAAAAAAAUAGGGUAAACUUAAAAAAUAAUCAUUUUAGUUUGUCUCAGAUUAUAUUUUAAUCACUUAUAUUUGAAAUGUUAUAGUUUAGUCACUUGUGUUAUCAUUUUGUUACAAAGUGGUCACUCUGUCGUUAAACUCCGUUACCUCUCUAGUGGCAAUCUUACGUGGCAAUCCAAAUGGGUUUUAAAUGCCAACUUGGAUGUCUAACUGGGAUGAGAAUAGUUUUUUCAAACAAAAUAGAAAAUAAAACUAAAAGAAAAAGUAGAUGAACGGUUUUUUUUCUAGUUCAAGGUGUAAUUAAUUUAAAAUUUUCCAGUUCAAGUUGGCAUUUAAAACCCAUUUGGACUAUCACGUAGGAUUCCCGUUAGGGAGAUAACGAAAUUUAACAGCAAUGUGACCACUUUGUAAGAAAACGAUAACGUAAGUGACUAAAACGUAACAUUUCAAACAUAAGUGACUAAAAUGUAAUAUGAGGCAAACAAAAGUGACUAUUUUAAUAGUUUACCCUAAAAAAAUAAAGAGUAAUGUUUUAAAAAUUAGAUCAAUGGUUUGAUUAAAUUUGUCAAACCAUCAAUUUAAUCAUCGGUUCAGUAAUAAUUAAAUAAAUAAUUAAAAAUUCAUAAGAAUUAUUAAAAAAUUAUAAACUAGUUCAAUCAUUGGUUUUCUUUAUUUCGAUUUUCAAUUUUUUAUCGAUUCUGAAUUAUUUACUCAGAAAGCUAGUUUAACAUUUCUGUUCGGACGAUAUAUCAACCAAUUCUCAGUCCAACCGAUAAGUUCGAUCUAAUUCCAACAACAUUGGUAAAGAGACUAAAAAUAAUCAAAUUAUAGUAGAUAGACUCAAUUGAUAAAAAUACAUUGUCCAAGGACCUUAUACAAAAUUUGAUCUUAAUUCUUUUAAUAUUUCUUGAGUAGGUGUUUUCUUUUUCUUAGAAAUUGAGUAGGUGUUAUUUCACUGUUAAUGCUAACUAAGUAUAAGAUAUUUAUUUUUUAUUAAGAUUAUAUUAAUAUAAAUUUAUUCAAUAAUUAUAAUACACAAAUAUUUAUCUUUUCUUUUAGAGUUUUGUGGGUAUUUUUUUAAAAAAUCCUUUCAUAAUUUAUUGAUUAGGUGUUAUUUCACUCUUAAUGCUACCUCGGUAGCAGAUUUUGUAGGUAAUUUAGAUGAUAUUAGUAUAAAUUUAUUCAAUAAUUAUACCCACAAAUAUUUAUUUUGUUCAUGUAACAAUUUUAUAAUUAUUAAAUAUAGUAUAUUUUUCUCUUUCUUAUGCUAAUAAUUAAUUAAUGUAUGUGUGCCACGAACUGUGGCAAACGGAUUAAUGUGAAAUUAUUGACCACUAUUUAUUGAAUAUACCUAGAAUUAGAAUGGUUCUAUUUUUGGAAUUAAAAAAAAAAAACCCUUCAUUAUCUUAAGGAACAAAUCACAUGCCAAAAAAAAAACAGUAUGUCCAUGUGCUGCACUGUAAGACAUGCAAUUCAGAUGCAAAAUUAAUUAAUAAAAAACCUAAUCGGUUGAGUAUUAGUUUAUUUGAUAAUGAUAUUAUUGUUAUUAUAAGAGAUUUUAGGUUUGAAUAUACUGAAAUGCAUUAUAAGAGUUGAAGCCGAUUGUAUAAAAAAUAAAAACUAAUAAUCACAAUGCUACACUAAGCUAAUCUCCAAAAGUUGAAGCCGUUUGGGAAUUUUUUAAAAUUUAAUUUAUUCCGCACGGAUUUAAAUUUGAUAUUUAUAUUUAAUACAAAUGAUGAAUUGAUAAAAUUAAAUUCAAAAUUACAAAAAAAAAUUAUAGAUGUCCAAUUUAUUAAUCUCUUUUUUAUUUAUUAAGAUAUUUUAUUUUACUUAAUUUUUAAAUAUUAUCUUAAUCCCCUUUCUCUUUGUUUAUUCUUGGGUUAUUUCAUAAGCUUUUUUAAUAUAUAUUUUAAAGGCUAUUUUGUUUACAGUCCAAAAAUCAAAAUUCAACUCUCGGUAUUGAUAUUCCCUCAUCUAUACUGUAAUUGGAAAAAGAAACCAUUUGGCCUCGUAUAUUUGUGAUUAACUAUUUCUUACAUAGGCAUUGCAGGCUCCGAGUUGUUAAUAUUGGUAUUCUACAAAUUAAGAGUUAAGACAAAGGCUUUGUCUUCUUACAGAACCUGUAUGUGUUUCUAUUUGGAACUAAAGCCUCAUGCCAGCUUCACCAAAAAUUACUAUGUGUCAAUGUUACCAGCUAAUGAAUAAAAAGUUUGGAGUUUUCUCUUUUCAGACGAUUAUGUUCAUAGUUUAUGUAUAUGGAAAUAAGCAUCUUAUGCAAGGAAAUGAUCUUGUGUUUCUACUUUUUAAUGGGCUAUUUGUUGAUAGAUAAAAUUUCUACUUUUUAAUGGGCUACUUUUUAAUGGACUAUUCACGAGUAGUGUAGGGAUAAAAAUAACAGGGCUCGAUCAAAUGUAGUAUCCCGGAAAAGGCGAGAGGGAGAACCAUACAACAUGUUUGACAAUUUCACUCUUUGAACACUCAGGAGCAUACAACUGGAGACAGGUUGCAAGAGAGGGAUCCUUGAGUCCACGUAUUAUAAUCUUAAAAAAUACGCCAAUUUCAUGGCGACACAGGACAUAUGUGGAGGCUUGUGUUUAUCUUAAGGAUGCCAUCGAAGAAGUUGUCAAAUGAUGAUAGCUUAAGCAAUUUGCGAGACAAUCUGCUCUCCAACGGGACAAAAUCCAUUAUGUCGGAAAAGACGGGAUAAAAUAACAAGAAAAAAUGCAUGUCAAGAGGACAAUCGAUAUGAUAGUUGGCGCCAUUGAUGAGUGGGUCACCUUCAAGUUCAAGAGUAAGACUCAACUAAGGAGUGUCAUGUAAUUAACUCCUCCGUGAAGAAAAUGUGGUAACAAAAAAGAUGUUUACUUUACUACGCAAGGUUGUAUCAUUCAUUAAUUCCCUUUGAUCUUGGUCAAUUGAUUUUUAAUCAAAUAGCUGGGCAUGCAAAUAUCAAGAAUACAAUGGUAGCUUUGCCUUUUUCAUCCCUCAUGAAGCAAAAGUCUGAGGUCUAUGAGCCAAUGUUACCUGAGUUGAAAUACUCCUCGGAAUGGAAGAAGGAGAAGCAUGUUGCAGUUGUUACUGAAAUGGACGUUCUUGCUAAUGAUACUAAAGAUGAUGAUGAGCCAGCACCGGUUGUUGCUUUAGUUGCAACUAGCUCAACAUCUGCUAGAACUUUGAGAACUUCACAAAUUAGACUGAUAUAAAAUUUGGAUGAACAGACAGUCUCCCUUGAUGAGAAUAUUCAGUAUCAUGAGUUCCAACUAAAACUUCUCUAACGACGAAUGACUCGUGCUCAACACAUUACAAGAUUUGUUUGUUUUAUGACCGUGAUUCCUUUGCAUUUUUUAGCCAAAAAGAGGGAGAUAGAGAUUAUAAUUGGUUGCCGGUUCUGGUAUUGUUGGUCUCACAUUAAUAGUUGAUUUCAUAGUUAAAAUUCAUAGUAGAAUAGAUGGGUUAAGGAGAAGUGUCGAGUUGACUUACCUUGUUUGAUGUGUUACUAUAUUUUUGUUCAACAAUGCCAAAGGGAGGGAUUGUUAGUGUUAGUUAUAACUAUUAGAUGCAACGCUAGUUGUAAUUUAAGGAAUAUCUGGCAAGUUAUUGUAACUUAUCUUAUCUGAUUGACAUGUUUUAAUGAGAAUUGUUUAAACUUUUAAUUGAUGAUCUGUGAGGGAUUUUAGUAGAUCAUUACUGAAGAUAAUUUAAGCAAGAACCAAGUGAAGUAAGGAAUGCAUCAAGACUUUCAAUAUAAUCGAAAUUAGAUCCUGCUAAUAUACUUUUUUAUUGAAGACUUAUUUGGUGGUUACUUUUGUGAGAUUAGAAAUUCAUAUUGGUUGUAAUUUAACAAUACACAUUGCACUUAUUUAUGGUUGGCUUAUUUAGGUUAUUAUGUACAAGAAAGAGAUCACUUCUAUUUGUUCGUUAAGGAACUCUUUUUAGUGCAUAAUUUGUUUAAGUAAACUUGAUCGUCUUAUAAUUAAAUUUUUAGGGGAUAAAACUUUGUGAGAGAGUGACCUAGUUUGAACUUUGAAGUAUAGGAGCAAGGUUGCAAUUUGAUGAGUAGGUUAAAACUUAAAUUAUCUUUUUUACUUGUUAAUUUAUAGCGGAUUACUCUUUGAACACGACUUUAGAAAAGUAAAAAGUUUCCGAAUUCCUUAAACGAUUUUAUACUGUCCAUCUCUAUUUUUUAAGCAAUAGUAAAUUCAUCUAUUUGCAACUAAAAGAAUAUCUAACAAAUCAAUAAAUUUACGGUGUAGAUAAAUGUAUGUGUUUUAAUUUGGAAGUAGACCUUGUCUCAACUUCUCCAAACUCUAAUUAUUACGUGUUAAGAUUAGAUUUAAUUCUAAAUUUCAAUUUUUUACUUUAAGAAAAUUGAUUUUUUCUAUUUUAAAUUGUUAUAAUUGGGUUUUCGUAUUUUACAAAAAUAGAAAAUGUCCUCAUAUUGCAAACCUAAAAAUCAGUCGUUGAGGAAUUAUGUGCAAAUAAUUAACAAAAAAAAAUAAAAAUGAAUUCAACAAUUUAUAUACAAUAAAUUAGUCAAAGUAACAAAUCAAUCCCAUGCAUUUACCGACCAUUGGGCUAACUUCUCAGAUUUCGUAAAGCAUGAAGACCAAAUUUUGGUUAAAUUAAAGUAGAUGCAUUAUUUCUCAAUUUUCGCAAAAUAAAGAGAUAAAAUUCAAAAUGUUAAAAUAUACUCCAAGUCAAUCUACUCUUCAUACCCUCUAAUUUUAUUUCCGGGAAUUUAAUCUAUUUACUUUUUAGAUUUCAAAAUUCAAGUCCAAUAGUUAUCACCAUUAAUUUUUUUUGUUAAAUUCAAAGGUUUGACAUUUUGAACUAAACAAAUAAUCACUUGGUAACUAUGUAACAAUAAAAAUAAUGAUGCAAUGAGCCUAAAUUUAACAUAAUGGUUUGAACAAUAUUAACAAUUAAACUUAAUUUUUUAAAUCUAAAAAAUAGAGGGACUAAAUUCCUUGAAAUAGGGGGACUAAAUUCUAAAUAUAUGAAGGAUACAUGUACCUACAUCAUAUUUAACCAAUUCAAAAUUAAACCGUCAACAAAAGAACAAAAGUUGGAAAGUUUUCUUUAUAUGGAAAUAAGCAUCUUAUGAACUUGUCAAUUGUUACCAUAUUGGGCCUUAAACUUUAAGGUUUUCAAAAACUAAUUUGGAUAAUAAAAAAAGCUCAAGUCUCAAUGUUGGGAUAAUUGCCAAGUUCAGGGCAUAACUUGGACUAAAAAAAAGUUCAAACCCACAUAUAAGAAAAGUUGUUAAAUUCAAGCCCCAAAAAAUGAUUUAACCCAAUUUUAUUGUCACUAUUUUUUCUUAACACGUCAAUUUUAAGUUGUUCAUGCAGUAACUACAUGUAUGUUUACAAAUUGAUCAUCAUGUUUUAAAUAUACUCCAUCAACCAGACCAUUAGCUUGAUUGUUAAGUCAAAUGCAAACUCAAAUCAGACGUGUAGAAUAUUUAAAACACCAUAAUCAAAUUAUAAACACAUGUGUACUUAUUGGGUUGGCAACUUGAAUCUAAGGUGUUUAAAAAAAAUAACCAUCCUAAUUGUCACUUUUUUUAACACAUUAAGUUCAAGGUGUUCAUACGGUAACUACAUACAUGUUUACAAUUUAAUCCUUGUGUUUUUAAAUAGAUUGAGAUCCAUGUUCAUUAUUUUUGUGUCCAUUAUUAAGCAAUAUAAGUUUAAUCACUAUUAAUCAGUAUAACAUUCACAAUUUAAUAAUGGAUACUUCACAUUUAAAUGGUGAUAAUUAGUGUAUUGAAAAUUUAUUGGUUGAAAAAGUACUAGGUUGAGUUUUAAAUUGUUGAAAUAAAAUCCAUUAUUUUUUUUAUCAAUUACUUUUCAAUAUAGUAGUCAUCACCAAUCAUGUGUGUAGGGCUCAGAAAUAAAUAUGUAAGUCAUAUUUACAAGUGAUAAUUAAACUUGUAUUAAAUAGUAAUGGAUAAAAAAUAAUGGAGAGGAGCUUGACCCGUUUUUAAUAUAAUUUACCUCAUAUUUAAAUCAACAUUUAAUACUUAAAUUAAUAAUUAAAUUAAUGUAAAAAUUAAAUUAAUACAAUACUUAUAUUUUGAAAACUCGAUUAGAAUAAAUUAAAAACAUCGGGUGCUAAUUCAAUAUGGAAUAGUGUGUUAUUGGUGACACAUAACCAAGGCCAAUAAGCUCAAUUAGGAGGGUAGUCAAGGCAUAAUUUUUUAAUAAAUGUUUUGGAGCAUGAUUUUAGAGAUUAAUUUAUCUGAUUUAAUUGAGUUUUUAAAAUAUCAUUGUGGAAUCAAUUAGGUUUUUCUGUCAACUUAACCAUUAGUUUGAUUGUCAAAUUAAAUGUUAGCUCAAAUCUAUAGUUGAGCAUAUUUAUAAACACGUGUGUAUUGUAUGAACAACUCGAAUCUAAGUUAUUUAGAAAAAAGAAUAGCCAAUUCUAAAUUCUAUUUUCACUGUUUAUUUUUUUAACAUGUCUAAUUCAAUUUGUUUAUGAGAUAAAUACGUACAUACAUGUUUAGAAUUUGAUUCCCGUGUUUUAAAUAUACUUAACAUCAUAUUCAAUUUAAUAUUUAACGACUAAUUUGACUACUAAACUAACAAAAUAUACCUACCAAAUUUAAUUAAAAUAUUUUAAAGAGGGAUGGUUUAAAUACAUUUAAUGCAAUUAACCAUAAAUAUAUGUUAGUCUUUUAGGAUGUUUGGGGAUGAAGGUUUUGUUGGUUAAUUUAUAUCCACCAACAACACUUUUAUCUCAAAAAAUUGAAAAGGCUAAUAUAAUAUUCCUUUUUAACCUUACAUAAAGAGGGAUAGUUUAAAUAUGUUUAAUGCAAUUAAGAUGGAUGAUUAAUCUUUCAUGUAGGCUUUUCUUGAUAGCAUCUCUUCUUUUCUUUUAAAGUUUUAUUAAUUGAUAAUACUCCUGUGUUUAUUGUGUUUAAUUUUGAUAGAUUAUUAAAUGAUAUAUCACUAAUUUUGAGUUUAUUAUUUAAUUUUUAAUUGAGUGCAAAAAUAAAAUUAAAAAAAUUAAAAAGGGUCGAAAAUGUGGGCUAUUCUAAAAGUUUUGGGCCAAAAAACAAAAUUGAUAAACAAUGAUUUAUUUUUGAGAUUUAUUAGUAAAAAUAACAUUUUUAUUUUUUUAGUAAAAUAAUAUUUUAAUUUCCUAUUAUUUUAUUUUAGGAUAAUACUUUUAAUUUCUAGUAUUUUAUUUUUAUUUUAUUUUAGUUUUAAAUAACUCCUCUUAGAUUAAUGAGUUUAAGUAGAGCCUUUAUAUUAUAUAUAUAUGUGUGCACGCGCGCGCGCGCGCUCUGGGGGGGCAGAAGAAGGGGGUGCCCCUGUGCUCUGAAUUCAAUUUCUUCGUUCUGUUUUUGGUUUUCUUUGUCCUGAGCAACAUUGCUCAUUUUCCUUUCAAUUUUAUUUUAUUUUAUUUUUUAGUUUUAAUUAAUAUUUGUUAAAAUCUUCAUUGAAUAGGCUUUUUUUCAUUAGUAGCUAAAUUUCCAUCUAAUUUUAGGUCGAUAAAUAACUCGAACAAACUCACUUAAAAUUUUUUAUUAUAGUAUUUAUUGUUUCUCCGUUUUAGGAAAUAGACAUUAUCGUCUCACAAAAUUGUUUUGGCACUAAGUUAAAAGAGUUUGUUGGUUUGGUGUUGAUAGACAUACAGUUGGAAGUACCAAAUCGACCAUCUAUCAUAUUCGGUCUACCGAAGAACACAUUGGCGUGUCAAAUUAAGUAGUUAGCUGAUCCAUAAAUGGAAAUAACAAUCUUGUAACACCCCUUACUCGUAUUCAUCGCCGGAAUAGGGUAGGAUACAUUACCGAAGUUUACCGAAUUAAUUUUCCAUUAAUACGAGUUAAAUACUAUUUAUUUACUAAAACAUGUCAUGGUGUCCUUUAGAUGGGCCUCCAAAGCCCGAAACAUACUUCGAGACCAGACUAGAAUUAAAUCGAAACCAUAGGGGAUUUUUCGCAAAAUCCCAAAGUUUUUUUUUUUGCUCAAUAUAACCCCUUUAUAAAUAUUUAACCUUCCCUGCAAUUUUUAAAACCGAGACCAAUCCAACCAACCAAUUCAUUUCAAUCAAUUUAAUACAAAAUUAUACUUCUAUUAUAAUUAUACUAUUUAACAUACUCAUCAUUCUUUACUUUAAUGUAUAGUCAUUAAACAAGUCUUAAUAUUUAUAUAAUCACCAAGCCUUAUACAUGCCAUAUAAAUCAAAAAGGAAAUUUACAAAAGCUACCGGAGAUAAUCUGGAUAGUGUGAUCCUCUGUGUUGAUCCGAUCCUCCGUAUACUUUCACGUCAAUUUACAAGAGACAUUGAAUACACUCAAGUAAGCUUAUAAAAGCUUAGUAAGUUCAUAGGGAUAAAACAUAAAUCUUACUAAAUAUUUAUACACUUAUACUAUAUACACAAUUAUUAAGUUCACCUGUCAAUCACAGUCAUUGGUGAGUUCCCUGUAUAAAUUCACUACCACUUACCCAUUUCCAUUAAUUCUUUUGGGCCCAUUUGUCAUAUAUCAUUCUUUAACCAAAUUAGGGAAUGGUAACGGAAAAUUGAGUACUUCACUUUCACUUUGCCAUAGUAUAACUAUGGUCUUGCAUAUGAUCACUUAUCACUUUUUAAAAUCAUAGUCCUGCCACGGUCUUACGCUGAUCACAUUUAUCACUUGUCACUGAUCAGAUAAGUGUAGCUAAAGCUACCACUUAUCACUUAUCACUUGUCACUGAUCAGAUAAGAGUAGCUAAGCUACCACUUAUCAUUUGUCACUUAUCACUGAUCAGAUAAGUGUAGCUGAGGCUACCACUUAUCACUUGUCACUGAUCAGAAGUACUCAAAUCCGACAUUCCACUCAAUUUGAUCAUUUAUUCGAUUUUCAGGUUGUUAUUUUAUUUUCUAUUCAUCAAUAAAUAUAUUUCAUCAUACAUUAUAUAAUUCAUAAAAUUAACAUAUAAUCAUUAAACUUCGACCAUAUGAACUUACCUGGGUCGAUUUGUAAAAUUUGUGAAAAUUCAGGGACUAAUCAGCUACUUUUUCUUUUCCUCGACUUGCUUCGGGUUCUCGAUUUGCAGUAAAAAUAUGAAAAAUCAGCUUAAGAAAACCCUUUUAUGGUGUUUUUGCUGAUGAGAAUGCAGAAAAAUAAUGAGAAUUCUAGAUAAUUCCACUUUAGUCCUAGUUUAUUAAGUAAAUUUUUGCAAUAUUCCAAUUUUGCCCUUAAUUCAUCAAUUUUCCUGCUGAUUUCAUGCACCUUGCCGUCCAACCCAAAUAGACCUGGGGUCUAUUUGCCUUUUAAACCCUCUUUCUUUUAUCAUUUAAGCUAUUUAAUCAUUUCCCAUAAUUUUACAUUUGUUACAAUUUAAUCCUUUUUAUUCAAUUAACUAUCGAAACUUUAAAAUUUCUUGACGAAACUUUAAUACUAAAUUAUUAACACUCCAUAAAUAUUUAUAAAAAUAUUUAUGGCUCGUUUUAAAAAUUUUCAAACUUUCGAUAUCUCGUUUCCAAUUCUAAUUUAAUUUUUUUAUUUCUAGUACACUGUUCGCUAUUUCAAAAAUUUUACUAACUUCACACUUAACUUAUAUUCACUAAAUUAUUAAUAUUUUCUACUCAUUUUCCGGAUUUAGUGAUCUCGAAUCACUAUUCCGACACCACUAAAAAUUCAGGCUAUUACAAUUCUCCCCCUCUUAAGAAAUUUCGUCCUCGAAAUUUGUUACCUGAAAAUAGGUUCGGAUAUUGUGAUCUCAUUGAUUCCUCUGUUUCCCAGGUUGCCUCCUCCACACCAUGUCGAUGCCACAACACUUUUACUAACGGUACCUGUUUGUUCCUUAACUCUUUAAUUUCCCAAGCUAGAAUUUUCACCGGUUCUUCUGAAUAAGUCAUGUCGGGUUGGACCUCUAUUUCCGUAUGAGGAAUUAUAUGUGAUAGAUCUGAUCUGUACCGUCUCAACAUAGACACAUGAAACACGUUAUGAAUCUUUUCAAGUUCCGAGGGCAAAGCCAAUCUAUAAGCUACCGGACCGAUUCUUUCAAUGAUUUCAUACGGCCCAAUAAAUCGUGGGCUGAGUUUUCCCUUUCUACCGAACCGCAAAACUUUCUUCCACGGUGACACUUUCAAGAAUACACGAUCACCCACAUUAAACUCGAUAUCUCUUCUCUUUAAAUCUGCAUAUGAUUUUUGUUGAUCGGAGGCAGCUUUUAAACAAUCUCGAAUAAUACGAACUUUUUCUUCGGUUUCCCGAAUCAAGUCCACUCCCAUUAGUUUCCGUUCACUUAAUUCAGACCAAUAUAAUGGAGUUCUACACUUUCUUCCAUACAGAGCUUCAAAUGGUGCCAUUUUAAUACUAGUUUGAUAACUAUUAUUAUAAGCAAAUUCGACUAAAGGUAAAUACCUUUCCCAGCUGCCGCCAAACUCAAGUACACAACACCUUAACAUAUCUUCUAAAAUCUGAAUCACUCGCUCUGACUGCCCGUCUGUCUGAGGAUGAAAAGCUGUGCUGAAAUUUAAUUUAGUGCCCAAAGCCUCCUGUAAUUUAUUCAAAAAUCUCGAAGUAAAUCUCGGAUCCCGAUCCGAAAUAAUAGAUACUGGAACUCCAUGUAAUCUCACAAUCUCAGAAAUAUACAAUUCCGCUAACUUCUCCAAUGAAAAAUUUGAUCUGACUGGAAUAAAAUGUGCUGACUUUGUCAAUCUAUCAACGAUAACCCAGAUUGAAUCUUUCUUUUUCGGAGUCACAGGCAAUCCUGAUACAAAAUCCAUCGUAAUGUGUUCCCACUUCCAUUCAGGAAUCAUAAUAGGUUGUAAUAAACCCGUUGGUACUUGAUGCUCUGCUUUCACUUGCUGACAGAUUAGACAUUUUGCAACAAAUUCACAAAUCUCUCGUUUCAUACCAGGCCACCAGUACAUUCUUUUUAAAUCGCAAUACAUUUUUGUACUACCCGGAUGAAUAGAAUACUUACUAUUAUGAGCUUCGGCAAGAAUAUCAUUUUUCAAUUCUGAAUUAUUCGGAACACAAAUUCUAUUACGAUAACGCAACAUACCACCAUCAUCAACGCUAUAUUCUGAACUCAAAUUAUCCUGAACCGUUUGUCAUUUCAGUACUAGUUUCGGAUCAUCACUCUGUAAUUCACGGAACCGUUGAAGGAAUGUAGAUUUUACUUUCAAUUCUGCUAAUACUGAACCAUCUUCAUUAACAGACAAAUGAACAUUCAUUGCUCGAAGUGCAAACAAUGAUGAUUUUCAGCUAAGUGCAUCAGCGACCACAUUAGCUUUCCCUGGGUGAUAAUCAAUAACAAGAUCAUAAUCUUUCAAUAGUUCGAGCCACCGUCUCUGUCUCAAGUUUAGCUCUUUCUGUGUCAUCAAAUAUUUCAGACUUUUGUGAUCGGUAUACACAUAAUAUUUUUCCCCAUAUAAAUAAUGUCUCCAGAUUUUUAAAGCAAACACAAUCGCGGCCAACUCCAAAUUAUGGGUAGGGUAAUUUUUCUCGUGUGGUUUUAAUUACCGAGAAGCAUAUGCCACUACUUUCCCUGACUGCAUUAAAACACAACCCAAACCAUUUAAAGAUGCAUCACUAUACACAACAUAUGGUAUACCUGAUUCUGGUUGAGUUAACACGGGAGCUUCUGUCAACAUUUUCUUCAACUGGUCAAAAGUUUGUUGGCACUUUUCAGACCAUACAAAUUCAACAUUCUUCUGAAGUAGUCGAGUCAUCGGCAAGGCAAUCAUUGAAAAAUUUUUAACAAAUCGGCGGUAGUAUCCCGCUAAUCCUAAGAAACUCCGCACUUCUGUUACGUUCUUUGGUGUUUUCCAAUUCACCACUGCUGACACUUUACUUGGAUCUACUUGAAUUCCUUCAGCUGAAACAAUAUGACCCAGAAAUCCAACCUCCUGUAGCCAAAAUUCACACUUGUUGAACUUUGCAUACAACUGCUUCUCUCUCAAGGUCUGCAACACACUUUUCAAGUGUUGUGCAUGAUCAGGCUCGGUCUUCGAAUAGAUCAGUAUAUCAUCAAUAAAUACAACCACGAAUCUAUCCAAAUAAGGUUGAAAAAUUCGAUUCAUCAAGUCCAUAAAUGCAGCAAGAGCAUUAGUUAAACCAAAUGGCAUUACCAGAAACUCGUAAUGACCAUACCAAGUUCUGAAGGCAGUUUUUGGCACGUCACAUUCUUUAACUUUCAGCUGAUAAUACCCAGAUCGAAGAUCUAUUUUUGAAAACACAGCAGCACCUUUCAACUGAUCGAACAAAUCAUCAAUGCGGGGCAAAGGAUAUUUGUUCUUGAUUGUAACCUUAUUUAACUGUCUGUAAUCUAUACACAAUCUCAACGAGCCAUAUUUCUUUUUCACAAACAAAACAGGUGCACCCCAAGGAGAUGUACUCGGUCUAAUAAACCCCUUAUCUAACAACUCUUGUAACUGAGUCUUUAACUCUUUUAAUUCUGUCAGUGUCAUUCUGUAUGGUGUUACAAAUAUUGGAGCAGUUCCCGGGAUCACAUCAAUCACAAACUCAACUUCACGAUCUGGUGGUAAACCCGGUAGUUCCUCAGGAAACACAUCAGUAAAUUCAUUAACAAUUGGCAACUGUUUCAACUUUGAUUCAGAAUCCCGAAUAUCAAGAAUGUAAGCUAAAUAUGCUUCAUUACCCUUCCGUAUUAGCUUCUGAGCUGAAAAGGCUGAAUAAUUUGGACAUUAUCUUUCAUAUUUCCAAACUCAGCCGAAAUCAUUUCUCCUGUCUGAUUUUUCAAAUCAAUCCGUUUCUCUCGACAGUUCACUACAGCGUCAUGUUUUGUUAACCAAUCUAUUCCCAGAAUAAUAUCAAAUUCCCGAAAGGGUAACAACAUCAAAUCAGCAGGGAAUUCACAGCCUUUCACUUUCAGUGGACAAUUACGACAUAUUAAAUUAACCAUCACACUUUGACCUAAUGGAUUAGUGACUUGUAUAUCAUAAUUAGUGGACUCAACAGAUAAUUUCUUUUCAGAUGCUAGCAUAGUGCAAAUAUAUGAAUGAGUAGACCCAGGGUCUAUUAAUGCAUAAACAGUACAUCAUAAAGAUAGAAAAUACCAGCAAUUACAUCAGGAGCCGUAGCCUCUUCCCUUGCUCGAAUGGCAUAGGUACGUGCUGGUGCUCUAUUCUCUGAUUGACUAACUGGUUCUCUUAUACUCGAACGGGUAGCCCUUGUAGCACUGCUCUGGCCCGAACGUCUACUUCUUUGGGGAGUGGUUCUCUGUAUCUCUUUCUAAUCCACUUCAUCUUUUUGCAGCUGGGGGCAAUCUCGAAUAAGAUGAUCAGUAGCCCCACAUUUAUAACAAGCCCCCAUCUUAGUCCUGCAUUCACCAAAAUGAUGUCUUCCACAAUACUGACACUUAGGCCGGGGAGUAUUCUGAACACUGCUCACACUUGCUGCAGGUCUAUCAAAUACCUUGAAAUCAGAUUGUCUUGAUCUACCUCUACCCAAUCUUCCCGGCACGGAUGUAGUUCGACUAAUUUCUUCUCUAGAUUUCUUCACCGGCAAAUCUGAAAAUGACUUAGAAGCACCUCUUUUAAAUGACUCUUUAUUUUUUCGAUCUCUUUGCAUUUUUCUGUUAUAUACUUCUUGAAGCUUUUGAACACGGUCUGACAGAACAACGAACUCUCGUAUUUCAUUAACCCCAAUCAUCAUUCUAAUAUCAUCAUUUAACCCUUCUUCAAAUCUGAUACACAUUUCUUCUUCAGUAGGUACAAUGUCUCGAGCAUAUUUGCUGAGGUAGACAAAUUCUCUUUCGUAUUCGGCCACUGACUUAUUUCCCUGCCAUAGAUCAAGAAAUUCUCUCUUUUUCUUAUCUAGAUAUAUUUUCCCCACAUAUUUCUUUUUAAACUCGUUCUGGAAAAAUUCCCAAGUAAGCUUUUCUGCAGGUACUACAGCUUCCAUAGUUUCCCACCAAUUAUAUGCUUCUUCUUUUAACAAUGAAACGGCACAUCGUAGAUAAUCUUCCGGAGAACAAGUCAUCUGUUUAAAAAUUCUUACCAAACUUUGUAGCCAAUACUCAGCUUUUACAGGGUCAUCAUCUGAUCUCCCUCGAAAUUCCUCAGCUCCAAACUUCCUAAGCUUUUCGAUCGGAGAACGUUUACUAGUUUCAAUUAUUGAAGGAGGUGGAGGAGCAACCGGAGGUACCGUAGGUGGUGCAGUAGGGGGAAGAGGUGGUUGAGACUGAUUUCUUUCUUGUAUCAUCUCCUUAUACCACUGAUUCAUAAUGCCAUAAAUCAUAUUUUUAAGUUCUCGCUCUCGCAUCAUAGAAAUUGGAAUAUCACUACUUGUUCCUUAUUCUGGAGUCUGCACCCUACUGUUAGCUUCCUCCUGUUCAGUACGUUCAGGUCUAUCUGACAUCUUUAUAAUCGGAGAGUAUCUAUAAAAAUGACAAAGAUUAGAUCGGAUCAUACACAUCACACUAUCACAGAUUUAUAUGGCAUGUAUUUCUAAACACUUUACACAUAACACAUGUUCCGAGAACCGGCUAAAUCGGGCUCUGAUACCACUAAAUGUAACACCCCUUACCCGUAUUCAUCGCCGGAAUAGGGUAGGAGACAUUACCGAAGUUUACCGAAUUAAUUUUCCGUUAAUACGAGUUAAAUACUAUUUAUUUACUAAAACAUGUCAUGGUGUCCUUUAGAUGGGCCUCCAAAGCCCAAAACAUACUUCGAGACCAGACUAGAAUUAAAUCGAAACCAUAGGGGAUUUUUCGCAAAAUCCCAAAGUUUUUUUUUUUGCUCAAUAUAACCCCUUUAUAAAUAUUUAACAUUCCCUGCAAUUUUUAAAACCGAGACCAAUCCAACCAACCAAUUCAUUUCAAUCAAUUUAAUACAAAAUUAUACUUCUAUUAUAAUUAUACUAUUUAGCAUACUCAUCAUUCUUUACUUUAAUGUAUAGUCAUUAAACAGGUCUUAAUAUUUAUAUAAUCACCAAGCCUUAUACAUGCCAUAUAAAUCAAAAAGGAAAUUUACAAAAGCUACCGGAGAUAAUCUGGAUAGUGUGAUCCUCUGUGUUGAUCCGAUCCUCCGUAUAGUUUCACGUCAAUCUACAAGAGACAUUGAAUACACUCAAGUAAGCUUAUAAAAGCUUAGUAAGUUCACAGGGAUAAAACAUAAAUCUUACUAAAUAUUUAUACACUUAUACUAUAUACACAAUUAUUAAGUUCACCUGUCAAUCACAGUCAUUGGUGAGUUCCCUGUAUAAACUCACUACCACUUACCCAUUUCCAUUAAUUCUUUUGGGCCCAUUUGUCAUAUAUCAUUCUUUAACCAAAUUAGGGAAUGGUAACGGAAAAUUGAGUACUUCACUUUCACUUUGCCAUAGUAUAACUAUGGUCUUGCAUAUGAUCACUUAUCACUUUUUAAAAUCAUAGUCUUGCCACGGUCUUACACUGAUCACAUUUAUCACUUGUCACUGAUCAGAUAAGUGUAGCUAAAGCUACCACUUAUCACUUGUCACUGAUCAGAUAAGAGUAGCUAAGCUACCACUUAUCAUUUGUCACUUAUCACUGAUCAGAUAAGUGUAGCUGAGGCUACCACUUAUCACUUGUCACUGAUCAGAAGUACUCAAAUCCGACAUUCCACUCAAUUUUAUCAUUUAUUCGAUUUUCAGGUUGUUAUUAUUUUCUAUUCAUCAAUAAAUAUAUUUCAUCAUACAUUAUAUAAUUCAUAAAAUUAACAUAUAAUCAUUAAACUUCAACCAUAUGAACUUACCUGGGUCGAUUUGUAAAAUUUGUGAAAAUUCAGGGACUAAUCAGCUACUUUUUCUUUUCCUCGACUUGCUUCGGGUUCUCGAUUUGCAGUAAAAAUAUGAAAAACCAGCUUAAGAAAACCCUUUUAUGGUGUUUUUGCUGAUGAGAAUGCAGAAAAAUAAUGAGAAUUCUAGAUAAUUCCACUUUAGUCCUAGUUUAUUAAGUAAAUUUUUGCAAUAUUCCAAUUUUGCCCUUAAUUCAUCAAUUUUCCUGUUGAUUUCAUGCACCUUGCCGUCCAACCCAAAUAGACCUGGGGUCUAUUUGCCUUUUAAACCCUCUUUCUUUUAUCAUUUAAGCUAUUUAAUCAUUUUCCAUAAUUUUACAUUUGUUACAAUUUAAUCCUUUUUAUUCAAUUAACUAUCGAAACUUUAAAAUUUCUUGACGAAACUUUAAUACUAACUUAUUAACACUCCAUAAAUAUUUAUAAAAAUAUUUAUGGCUCGUUUUAAAAAUUUUCAAACUCUCGAUAUCUCGUUUCCGAUUCUAAUUUAAUUUUUUUAUUUCUAGUACACUAUUCGCUAUUUCAAAAAUUUUCCAAACUUCACACUUAACUUAUAUUCACUAAAUUAUUAAUAUUUUCUACUCAUUUGUCGGAUUUAGUGAUCUCGAAUCACUAUUCCGACACCGCUGAAAAUUCUGGCUAUUACAAAUCUAAUCUAAACAAUUCACGCGAUUGAGAUCGUUGGUUCGAGUGGAGCCCUUAUAGUUCACAAGACCACUGUAGAGAUGAAUUAUGAACGCGUGUUUCAUGAUUGUUCGUUCGAUAAGGGUUAGUUGCUAGGCAUUCCUGAAAUUAAUAUAUACACGGAAGGGUUGGUGGUUUGAGAUAUCCUCGACCACUAUAAAUAACUUAUUGAUUGAAGGAAAAAAUUUGUUAUCAAGAAUCGGUUCGAAACAAGAGCAAAAUUAAGCUUGAAAUUGGAAUUUCAUCAUAUCGUUUGAUUUAAUUUAAUUUCAUUUAUGCCUAUUUUCACUACUAUUUUUAUUUCAAUUACUUAUACUUUUAUUAGCAUUAAAUCCCUUUUUUAUUUUUGCACAAACCGUCACAUGUCAUUGGCACAAUAGUUGCCUAGAUGCACAACUUGAUUAAAUUGAAAUAAUAAUUUUAGAUAACUCAGUCUCUAUGGGAUCAACCCUACUCCCCAUACUACUAUUUAUUUACCGUUUAAGUAUAAUAAUAUUAUUUUUGGUGAAUUCGACACUCAUCAUUGAUUAAUCUCCAAAAAAAUUAAGAUCGUGCCUUUGCUUAUGAUAGAAUAAGAUUUUUAUGCAAGAUUUUAAGUUUUUUUGAUUGAAUGAUUUUAAGAUGUUAAUUUUAUAUAAGAUUGCUAACAUUCAAGUUGGUAAUAAUUGUUAGAUAUUGAUUAAUACAAAUUCUUAAAGAAAUUAAGAUCUAUUUUUUAUACAUUCUUGAAUUUUUUGAAUGUUGAUUAAAAUUUUAAUAUUUUUUAAUUGUUGUUGUUAAUGUGAUUAUUGUUAGUUUUUGUUGAAUAUUUUUAUUUGUCGGCAAACAAGGUUGUACAUACACUUGAUCGCAAAAACAAAAAAGGUUGAGGGGCCAAAUUUAAUUAAAAUAAAUAAAUAUAAAAUUGACAAAAAAAUGUAAACCUUAAAAACUUAAUUUUUCAUAAUGCAAUUUUUAUGAUUAUAGAAUUACUAUCAAAUUUCUAUUGAGAUUCUGCUUUCGUAAACAAAAUAGCAUCACCCUAUAAAGAAAAUUUCAAAUGGAUAAAUAUCAAAACUAUACAUGAACGUUGGUUCGAUAUGCAAUGACAUACAUGAAUUUAGAUUUUUUGUGUUUUUAUACAUGAAAUUUCGAUUUGAUUUAAAUUUCACAAAUCCCUAACAUUAUUGAAUUAGCAUCAUUUUAAAUUAAUAAAUUGCAUACACAAGCAAUUAUAUUGUUUCGAUAUAAAAAUAAAUGUAUGUAUUCAUUUAUUUAAAUGUGUACAAUUGAAUUAAAAUCAAAAUUUCAUCUAUACAUAUGAACCAUAACUCAAAUUUCAUGAGUAUAAUUACACCAAAUCAAAAUUCAUGUAUCAAAUUACACAUUAGAUCAAAGUUCACAUAUAAACUUGAUAUUUAUCCCUUAUUUCAAAUCAACAAACACUUAAUUAAAAAGGUAUUGUUUUUACUAACAAGCAUAGUGAUAACUAUUGUUCCAAAUUUUAAUUUUAAUUUCAUAAACAAAAAAAUGUUAUUUUAACUUAUUUUAAAUUAUUUUAAAGUUUCGUUAAAAUGACAAACAUUUUCGAGGUGAUCAAUCACACUUAAAUAAAAAAUAUUGGUGUGUAGUGGCGGAGCAAAGGGAGACAAAGCCCUGACCCCUUUAAAAUGGAAAUUUUUUUAUUGAAGUCAUUUAUAAUUUAUAAUAUUUUAAAUUAAUAAUGGUAAAAUUACACUUUGUCCUCCCAAAAUAGUAAAAACUUUAUUUUUAUUAUUAAAAUGAUGAAAUUAUAUUUUUACUAUCAUAAAAAUAUACAAUUUAAUUCUAGCCCCCGACAAAAUUUUUUGGCUCCAUCACUGUUGGUGGCAACUUUCAUCUGUUUUAAAGUUUCCAUCUAGAUAUUUUAAUUAUUUUAAAAAUGGUUAUGACAUCUUAUAUUUAUUUAUAUAUCAAUUGUUAAUGUAAUUUAAUUUGUUUAUAUAUUAAUUUCUCGAAUGUUAAUAUUACACAUUAAUUUAUAUAAUUUUUAUAGACAUUUUAAUUAAAAUUUUACCAAACAAUAAAAAUCUCUUUUAACCAUAUAUAAUCGAACAUAUACGUGGGAUAUUUUUUUGAGUUAUUUAUGUAAAAGAAACAUAUGUCAACUCUUACAAAAUUGUGGGCACUUCUCCAAGUCUUUGAAUUUCUUUUGCCAGAUACAAUAAAUCUAUGACCAAAACUUAUUGCUUGGUGUCCAUUUUUAUGAAUUCUUUUCAGACUUCAAUCCAGCUACAUUAUUCCUGAAUUAGCUGGGUUUUUCUUUUUCCAAUAAAAAAUAUAGUUUUUGAAAUCCAUGGGAGAUAUAUUUACUAAGAAUCAAUAAAGAGUGUGUUGAAAAUAAGAAAUUAUUUUAUGGCCUAUUCUUACUAUAUUAUCUAUGAUAUCUCUUAAUAAUUUAAUGACAUUUCAGUUAAUUUUUUUAUAUCAUUAACACAUAAUUUUGGUAAUUUUUUUUACCUCGAACCUUGAACUCCGAAUUCAGAAUCUUAGAUCUUGAACCAUCAACCUUGAACUCAAGAUCCAAAUCUUAAACCCUGAACUCAAACCUUAAAUUACCGAACCUCAAAUCUAAACUCGGAGUUUCGGGUUUGAUUUAAGGUUCGGGAAAAUUACUAAAAUUAUGUAUUAAUGACAUGAAAAAUAUUGUUAAAAUGUCACUAAAUAAUUAGAAAGAGACCAUAAAUGCCAUAGCGAGAAAGGUUCAUAAAAUAAAUUUUUUAAAAUAUGAUAUUAUAUAAAGUAGGUUGGAUAUAAUAAAUUUAAUAUUUCUUUUAAGAUUUUAGGUAUGAAUUUUAUGAAAAGAAAAAUAAUGUCAGAAAAAUCUUUGCUACCGUUUAGAGUUUUAAUUAGACUAACCCUAAAUUUAAUGAGAAUUAAUAUCACUAUCAAAUAGCCGAGGAUCUUAGGAAAAAGAUCUGAUUAUGGAAAAAAAGCAAACAAAAAGGUUAUUCCCAAUUAAUCUUCAAAACUUCACUUUUCAAAGGAUUGAUAUAUGUUUAAACCGACCAAGCAUCGAAUCUGCAAACUAAGAUUGAAUUUCGUACAUCACAGAAAUAUAUAUUUCUUUUUAUUUUUUAAAAUUUUAUAUUAAUAUGAGAUGUUUAAAUAUUUAUAUUGCAUAAAAAUAGGAUAUAAUUAACCUUUAUACAAGGAUUAUAAGAAGAUGAGAUUAUGCUUUAUGGUCCAAUCACAAAACAUUAAGUAGUUAAUUGGUUUUGUUAAGGAGAAAAUUGAGUUUAUUAAUACAUGUUGAGUAUUUUUGUGAAUCUAUCUCUUAUGGAGGUAAAUUUUUCUAUUUAUAUGACACGGUUAUGAUUAUGCAAACCCACCACGUGUGAACUCAUAUAAGUGAAAUGUACAGACUGUCACUAUUGACACAAAAAGCAUUGAAUCGGUCCUAGUUAAGUAACGAGUUGAUAACCGCAAACACCGUAAUAAUACCAAUUAACAUCAACUAAUGGACAUAAAGAAUCUUAGCUAGAGAGGAGGAUUCGAUUCAAAGUUGCACUCUUUUAGUUUACAACUCUUCUUUUACCUCUAAUUUCAGCAAAAGCAUGCACCAUCCUAAUCUUGCAACGUAGCCCAUUCUUCAAUCAAUUCGGUUUUAUAUAUAUAUAUUUUAAAAUAACAAUUGAUUAGUUACUCAAAUUAAGUUGGAUCGGAUGGUAUUAUUUGAGUCCGAAUAUAUUUAAAUAAAAUGUUAUUUUAUUUAAAAAAUUAUCCACAUCCAAUAAAAAUGCUCAUGGAUCAUAUAAUCAUGACAUAAACUCGUUAAAAUUUAAUUAUCGAAUUAUUAAUAAGAUCUUGGCUUAAUCACAAAAUUCAAAAUUUAAGUUCGAAUCUCGUGAUAUCCAGACAUCAAAAUCCUACACCUGUCCCCAUUGAAUUGGAAACAGAACAUUAAUGCCACCAAAUUGAAUAGAAUAAUAAGAAGUUUUGAAUCUCAUUGUUGCCUUUUUCCUUUCGGUAAGAUCUCAAUCUCCAUAAUUAAUAUUUGCUACACUCUUUUUUCAACCUAUAGGUGUAACACAAUUUGUGUUUGUCAAUUGGCAUAUUCAAUUUUUACUUUUUCCUUUUUAAUAUGUUCAUUAUUGUGUUAACUUUUUCCCCCGAAGGGAAAAAUUUGAAACUUCCCAGAAAUUAAUUUGAUUCAUCAAAAGAAACUCAAAACAGGCAAAAAUGAAAAGAAUAGAUUCUUUAAUGUCUCCCUAGUUUGUUCCUUUGUUUUUCCCUUUCGGUGCCAUCACGUCAGUUUAUUAGGUUACUUGGUUUUAAAUUUUAAUUUAGUUUAGAUAAACAGUGGGGUCGAUGUUUAUUUAUAGUUAGUGUAAAAAUAGCAGUGAUUGUGAGAUUAUAUACUAUAAUGAUACUGUAGUGUGAGAUAAAAAAUAAGUUAAACACACUACACCGCCCAUCUAAAGAGGUACAAAAUCGAAUACAUAAAUAGAGUAGGAUUUAAAUUCACACAUAUUUAAAUUAACAUUUAUAUAAUUUUUGUAAUUAAAUAGGCUAGUAUCAAUACAUGUCUAAACUGGAUCUGGUGAAUACAAGUAUUACAACGAACGAAAAAUAAAAAGAAAUACAUGCACAUACACAUGCACAUGCACAUGAUAAGAUUAAAGAUCAUUUUAAUUUGGUUUUAAGUUUAUAUACAAAUUUUUAUUUUUAUUUAAUUGUACAAAAAAUAAUUUGAUUUUAAUUCAAAUAAAUAUAUAUUAAAUUCAUUAAAUAAAUUUAGUUAUAAAUGCGCUUGAAUUCAUGUCCUCCUAUAUUGAUAAUAAUGUCGAUACCAACCGAGCUAAAACUUAAUCGACAUGUCAGUAAUAAUGUUAAUUGUAUAUAAAACCAAUAUCAAAAUUAAGCACAUUUUAUCAUAGUUUAUUCAUAUUUAAAUAAUUUAAUAUAAAGAUGUAUUAAAUAUAAUUAAUUUAAAAUUUUAAUUACCUCAUCUAAAUCCUAACUUUUAAGUGGAAAAACAUUUUUAACAAUUCUUUUGACUCCAAAGGUAAAGUUUUCUCUAUUACUCCUUGGAAGGUACUUUUGAUCUCACUAUAAAAAUGCUAUUGUCUUUUUUAUGUUAUUUAUAUGAACUCUAUAAGAAAUAAACUUCAAUUGAAAAUAAAUCCUAAAAAAAAAACUCACACUUGGUAUAUCUAUCUAUCUAUUUAUUAUAAUAAAGUCUCUGACUGAAUUAGUGUCACCCAUUAAUCGAAUUUUAAUUUUGAGAAAUUACCAAAAACUCGUAUCCAUACAAAGUAAGCUAUAUUUUUAUGAAGAUAUUUUUAUCUUUUUUAUAUUUUUAUAAAUCAAUAAAAAUUUACAUAUUAUAAGAUUUGAACCAAUUACACUAUGAAUAUCAAACAUUCAAUUUGAUACAGAUCGUUAAUAUGGAAGUCAUUAGGGAUAUUAAACAAUCUUUUUUGAUAAGGCGCAUUAUUCAACUAUUAAGAAAAGAAGUAAAAUGGCCUAUUGAUUAAGUUCCUAAAGAAUAUAACAUGAAAACUGAUCAAAUUACUAAAUUAGCUUUUGAUAGAGAAGAAGGUUUAUAGUUAUAUAUAGAUUAUCCUCUAGUUUCUUUCUUCUUUUUUAUUUUUAUUUGGGGGAGAGGUGGGGAGCCAUUGCCCCCUAACUUUUUAGAAAUUUACAUAGCACCCUCUUUAAGAUGAAUUUUAUUACAUUAAACUUCCUAAAAAAUUUUCAACCCCAAACCCAAAAAAAAUACCAAAUCCUUUAAAGUUUAAUAUAUAUAUAUCUUAUUAAAUAACUUCUUUUAGGAGUUUUAAAUUUUUAAAACUCUCAAACAAAGCUACAAUAUUUAAAAAUAUAUAAAUCAACUAUAGAAAAAUACUCUUACCCAUAGGUGAGUGAUUUCUCUAUUUUUUUUGUAUUUUAGAUAAUAUGAUUUCUAUAUGUAAAAAUUAUAUUUUAAUUUUGGUUUCUUUAUUGCAUAUGGUAGAAAAUCAUACUAAUUUUUGAAUUUUAAUAUGUUGGUAUUACUUAAUAGAAACUCGAAGCACAAUGAAAUUAUCAAAAUUAAAAAGUUAAAUUUUAAUUUUAUUCAUAUUUCAAAUCAUAAAUAUAUAUAUAUAUGUAUAUUUUAAGAUAAUUAUUAUACAUGAAAAUUAAUAAUAAUAAAAUAUGUAACCAACAAUACUAACAUAAAUUUACUCUCCUAGGUCGUUUCUAAAUCCAUCACUAAUCCUGAUAAGUUAUAAACCAUAUCAUAUUUUCCUUUUCAACUUUACCAUUCUAUACAAAUCCAUUUGUUUAUUAUAUAUAUAUUUGUUAUGUAAAUUCUUUUAAUCUAAUUACUUGUAAUCUUGUGAAUGUAUUAUAAUAUAGAGUAUAUGAAUCUCACUUUUAGUGAGGAAAACGCGGGGAAGUUGGUCAUAAACAGUGAAUAGAUUGCCAAAGUUAGCCCUCUCCAACUGCUAGAAUCCCCUCUCUCCCCUCGUUUCCCUUUAUCCGUUUAAACAACUACACUUUCUCCCCCCUCUUCAUAUAUAUAUAUAUAUAACUGCCUCUCUACUCGCUUUCAUCUCCGACCAACCAAAACAAAAGAAAUACCUAUAAAGAAGAAGCAAAAUUGAUGGGUACUACGAGAACCAAGAGAUGGAUGUUAUUCAAGAGGCUGAUGAAGAAAGAGUUAUGGAGAUGGAAGUUUUUGGGGUCUGCUUUCAAGUGGAAGAAGAUUCCAUCCCUAACCAUUCAACUUUCUUUCAUUGAUGAUGUGCUUUUCAAGAUUGCCUCUGUUUUAGAGGCAAUUUUCUUGGUCUCCACUCUCUGUUUCUUCUAUCUUUGUUGCGGCUGUCAUUUUUGACAAACCCCACAUCUAUGUAUGUACUAUGUAUUUAUUUAUUUUUCCUUUUGGGGUUGUAGUAAGAAACAUUCUGGAUUCUGAGUUCUGACAUGGGUUUCUGAGAAGGGAAAGUGUUUUUAAUGGUGAAAAGAAAAAGCUUUGAAUUCCAGGACUUUGAUGAAGGGUGGUAAAAAUGUACGGAAGAAACAGGGCAAACUUUAGUUUCUUGAUGUAUAAAGUUGGUAGUUAAAUUGAAUUUAGCUUUAAUUUGAACAUAUAUGUUCUCUUGUUUACAUUUUCCCCUUCAUUUUGUUGUUUAAAGUUUGAUGAGUUUGGUUCUCCUCUUUGGCAUCCAUACAUGAUUUUGUGUUGUUGAAUCGAGUAGGUCAUUCUUAAACAAAAUUUCUUGAGUUUGUUAAAGGACUGGAGUUCAAAUAUAUGUAGUAAAUAUCAGACUGUGUUAGAGCAAAAGAUUCUUAGUUGUUAUCAAUGGCAAUACCAAUCAAAUGAAGACAAAAGAAAUGGGACGAAGGCAAAGGCAAGGCUAGGAACGGAAUUGGUAUAGCUAUAUAGCUACUUUUGCUCGAUAUAUAGAUAGAAACAGCAACAGGAAAUAAAUAAGUCUUCUUGCACGUGCAAUGAAGUGGCUUUGAGUCUCUUUUUAGGCCAGCCCCAAAGAUUAACACUUUUACAGAUGGUAAUAUUUUCUCCACUGAAUAUAAGACAUGACAGACAUCAUUAAUGAACACAGUUUUGCUCUGCUGCUAUUAAGUGGCCUUUGUUUUUGUUUUUGUUCUUUCCACUGUUUUGAGCUUGAUGAUGAUAGCCAAAAACAGCUAGUUCUGCUUUUGAGGGAUUUGAGCAGGUAAGGCUUUACGUGUUAAAAGACCAAUAGUCAGUGAUUGAAAGCAAAGCAAAAGCCAAUUAUGAUAUUCAGUCGCAGCUUUUAUAUUUUUCAGGAAAGAUUUGGGGGGACUUCAAGGUAACGUGUGAAGAUGAUGAAGGAAGUGUAUUGAUUUGGAUUUUUGGAGUUAGUGUGUCGUGAUUAUAUUUUCUUUUUAUUUUCAAUUACUAAACGAUAAUAUAUAUAUGGGUGAAUUUAACUCAAAGUCACUAAAUUAUUAGUAAAUUUAUAUUUUGGUCAUUUAAUUUUAAAAAAUUAUAAAUCACGGAUUGUUAAUUUUUGUUUAAAAGUUUAAUUAGUGAGCUUCAAGCAAUUGGUACGAUGGAUUGUUGCCCCUCAAUGAUGAUUUUAGUUUGUAAAUUCGUGAUAUUUAAAGUUAUUUUGUAAAAAAAAUUAAAUUGUAGAAGAGAAGGGAAAAGCAUGCUUUCAAUUAUUAUAGGUAAUAUGAAUACGGCAACAAUUUUAAUAGUUCAAUAAUAUAAACUUUUAAAUAAUUUAAUGAUUAUUUUAUAAUUUUUUAAAAUUUAGUAUUCAAAACAUAAAUUUACUAAUAAUUUAGUAAAUUUGACGUAGAUGACCCUAUAUAUAUAACCAGUUUCAGCAAGUUAAUACGACAAGUCAGACUUAGCUGUAAUGUAAGACGGCAACAGACAAUAAAUUUUCGUUGAUUUUUUUUGUUCUUUUUUUGGGUUCAAUGAUUCAAGAAAUUUUCAUCUGCAAUGGAUAAAUAGAGUGAAUGUUUACUAAUAAUUUCCACUAAAUAUAUGUUAAUAAUUUUUUAAUUAGUUAAACAUGUUGAUUUUAAAAAGAAAGUAAGAAAGCGUGUUAAUUGAGUGUACUUCCCACUGACAUGUCAAAAAAAUUUAUCUACCUAAAUGCGUUUUUAUAUACUCUUUAAAAUUAACCUAUUUUUUUUAAAUAUCAAGAGAAACGAUUUAUUCGGCGUAUUUAACUUAUUUAGCCAAUAAUUUCUCCCACUGUACUGACAAUUUAAGCUAUACUGCAUUUUAUAAAUUUUUUCAGUGUUCUAAAACAAUUUUCCCUUGUAUUUACACCAUUAUUUCUUCCUUUUCUUAAAUCUAUUUAAGGAAAAUUGUAGAUAAACAUAAUAUGAGGAUGAGUUUCAUCUUGAUAAAACAUUGAAAAGUUUUAUUCAAACUGAUUAUGACAUAUAGGUGAUUUUUUUUUUUAAAUUUAUAUAUUUAUUAAAAUUUUAUAUAAAAUUCAAAUGAAAUUUUAGUUGGAAUUUUAAAGUUAAAAGGUGUAAAAAUUAUAGGUUAAAAUAUGUUGUUAGUUUUUAUACUUUAAAAGUUAAAAAUUGUAAUUUUUUUUCUAAUUUAAAAAUCUCACUCUAAUCAUUGUGGUUGUUGGUCGUUUCUAUCGAAAUUUACCUACUAAACAUGUUUAUUUAUGAUAAUAACCCUAAUUCCAAUUUGACAAUUUUUUACAAAAAAUACUUACGAUUUUAAUGAAGGGAUUGAUAUUUUUAAAUCAAUAAAGUAGAAGGAUAUAAUUUUCAACAUUUAAAGUAAAGGGAUUAAAUCUUAAAAUUUAUACAAGUAUAGAGACUAACAACAUAUUUAGAGCUACAACAUUGAUUCUGUAUAAAAAUGAAAAGACGAAAACACUUAAGUAAUAAUAUAGUAAUUUACUUUGUAAAAACAAUGUGUUUUAAAUUCUUUAAUCAAAAAUUUUAAAUAUAGUAUAAAUUUAAUAUUUAUUUUUUUUAAAUGUUUCUCUUCAUAAUUUUUACAUCAUACAAAACUUAUCAUUUAAUGAUAAUGUUAAUAUUAUUAUUUUUUAAAUAUUCUAAAUAAAUUAUCACUUCAUUUUUAUUAAAAAAUAAAUUAUUCAAAUUAUUAUAUUUAAUUUUUAUCAAAAAUUAUGAAAACGAAGAUUUAAUAAUAUUAUAAACAUUUACUUUUAAAAAAAAAACUAAUAUUAUAAACAUUUUUAUAAUAUAAAGUCAAUACUAAAAAUGAAAUAAUAAAAUUUUCAAUAUUUAUUUAUUUUUAGUUUUUCAAAAUAACAAAGUAUCUUUAUAAAAAGCCAGCAAAGAGUAGGAUAUUUCACAACCCUUUUUGCCUUAGCCCUGAAGUAGCCAUCAAUCACCAUACUAUGAUUUGAACUUAGGGUUUGUUUUAAUUGGCCUACUAGCAACCUUCCAAUUUCCAAAUAGCAAUUUGCCAUUUGUCUUCUGUAUUGAAAUUUAAAAAAAAAUGAGCCAAUUUGACUUUUAUUCUAUAAAGAAAACAAAAAAAAAAAGCAUCAAAUUUCAUGAAUAUUUACUUGAUAAAUAGUCAGAUUAACGUUCAAGUCUGCUUGACAAUAAUAUAUAUGUAAGAACUAUCUCCAAGCAGUGAUUUACACAAAAAUGAUACAGGGGUGAACAUAUUUGCCUACAUUAAUAUGCUACUCAUAUAAGUCAUAAUUAAACCACUACAUCUAUGCAUUCCCUGGUACAACACCACCUAAGGUUUAUAUAUAUUUAUUCAUCAAACUCCGAAUCAUCUUCGGUUUCUUCAUCUUCGCCACUUUCCUGCAAAAUCGAAAAACUUUUAAUGCAUUUGCAUCUGUUUCACUAUUGAAGACUUCCUUUUAAGAUAAAUUUGAGUAGAAAAACUUAAAGCAAGUUUACCUUUCUUUUAAUGUAUUCCGCCAUGGCUCUGUCAAACUCUGCUCGUUUCUCGGUUGCAAUAUCGUAAUAUUUAACUUUCUCCUGUUGAAGACAAGUUGAAAUUAGUAUGUCAGACAACUUAUGAAGCCCUUUAGUUUCUAUUUAUACGUGCAUCAUAUAUAGGCUUCAAGUCCAAGUGGGGGAAUAUGAUGAAUCAACCCUUGAGACAUUCGGCUUACUCGGCAUGCACUAAUAUUGAUUGCCGUAUUAUUUCUAUACAUGCCACUUACUUCUGCACCCCUAGUUAAUAAGCCAAUAAAAAGAAUUGGAACAAUUUUAUCACCAAACGAUAAUAAUAUUCAAUAUCAAAACUAUUUUCUUCAUCCUUAUGCAAAUCCAUGAACAGAUGAUAUACGUGCACUAAGGAGAACUUUAAGUAUGUUUUGAUGAACCAAUGUCACCCAUGACCACGGCCAAGGAUUUUAGCUAACAAGAGGCUAAACAUCAUUAUGGAUAUUCCUUGGCUCUCAGAUUCAAAUAAACAUGUCUUGACCAACUAAAUCUUACAAGCAUAUAAUCAAGUUAUCAUAACAAUAGCAUAUGCUAAUUAUAUGAAUUUGUAAGAAACACGAAAUUGGCACAAACCUCGUAUGUCAUUGUCUUCCACUUCUCACCACAUGCCUUCCCAAUCUGAAACAAUAUCGGGGAGGAUUCAUUAACAUAUACGUUAAAUACACAGAGAUUCAUUUUCUAAAAUAAGAUUUUGUGUUUUUAAACCGUAACAUACAUCGCGCAUUGACUUGAUACCCGGAUUCUGCUCUUGAAAUUCCUUACGAAAAUCCUCCCUUGAGUAUAAGAAAGUGAAAAAAUCUGUUAGUUUAAUGUCUCUCACAGGACAUUCACUUUCUGCAACUAAACUAGCAGGCGUUUGAUAUAAGAACCAAAGCUCACUUUCCAGAACACACAGACACACACACAUAUAUAUAUAUGUAUAUAUAUUGCAUAUACAUUUGCUCCAUUACAGGCAAGGAAACACAAUCCAUUUGCCAGCCUAAAAAACCAACCCAAAAUUUUGCAUAAAAAAGACAGUCAAGAAAUAAGCAGAUAGAUAUUAGCUCUUACACGACAAGGGCGCAAGAAUAAAAGCAUAAAAUUUGCAGGCAGGGGAAUGUUAUAAUCAACAAAAUGUUAACCAAUACUAUGAACAAAAAAUGAUUCAUAAGCAAUACUCACAAGAAGUAAAAGAAAGCAGUGGGGGGUUUCUUAGGCAUUUUAGCAUCGAUUUUUGUUUUCCUCUUCAGCUUCGAUUUGGGUCUUGACUUCGACUUGGGUCUCUUUUCUCUCUCGCUAACAACACUCUCUUCAGCUGUCUUCUUCAUUUUUUCACUUGAUUUUACCCUUAACGCCAUUUGACUAACAAUUUUUUUUCAAGCAAAAGUGUCUAUUGUUAACCCCAAAUAUUCCUUACAAGCAAAACAAACUAAGAAAGCCAUAAUUUAUUUGCAAAAAAUACUAUAAAGCAAAGGGAUAAGAGAGAAAUACUGAUUGGAGGCUGUUGAUGGGUUCUUAGCGGAAGUAACGGAGGUUGAAGAUGAACGAUCAUUUUUCGACUUUGAAGCUUUCUUCGCCAUUUUUUUUCUCCUUUCUAUUUCUAAGACAGGUAGGAGAUGGAGACAAAUACCCAGAGCUUGUGCGUUGCUUAGUGUUGGCUGGCUCUCACCAGUGAAGCAGUUACCACCACAACUCGACUGUUUCCGGUGGGAAGGAGCUGGGAUUUGGACUUCCACGGGUGAGGGUCAGUGCCAAAUAGCUAAUGUAUUGCUCUUAGAGAUUAAGGCUUGUAGUAGUGGUAAUUACUUGGGCUUUUGCUAACCCUACGACUAGCCCAACCUCAAUGCAAUAACUAUAUUAGCCCAUUGCUUAGUGCUUACUUCAAAUUCUACAAAUACAAGGAUAAAAGAAGAAUUCAUAUAAGGAUGCCACACUCAUAAGAAACAUAAAUCUCAAAAUUAUAUAUAAAUUUUAAUUUAAUGGGUUGAUUUAUGAAAUUUAAUUUUAUUAUUAAAUAAAUAUUUAUUAAAUUCAAUAUAAAUUUGAUGUACUUUAAAUUUUAAAAUAUUCAUUAUAUCCAAUAAUUAUAAUAAUUAAAAUAAAUAAUCAUUUUAAGUUCAAAUUUUAAGGUUUUUUUAUGAAAUAAAAUAAUAUAUAAUUUUCUUAAAUUAUAAUAUCGACAAAAGUAAUAAAACAUAUAGUUUUAUCGAGUUAUUUCUUUAUACAUUUAUGAAGUUUUUUUAAUAUAUAUUAGAAAUCUUAUCAUAUACGUAUACGUAUAGAAAUUUAUAGAUUUAAAAUACAAAUGCCUAUUUAAAAGUAAUAUACAGUAAAUAAUAAAAUAUCUAGUUUGAAUCUAAUUGAUCAUAAUAAUACAUGAAAUAUGUAUGAUAUUAAAAUUAAAAAAAUUAGAUUAAAUUAUGAGUAAAACAAAAUCUAAACUCAUGAAUACAUCAUAUAAACAAUACUAAAUGAGUUACAGUUAUUUAACAUGACUUUGUCAUCAAUUAUGAGUUAGUGUUGAGUUGACUUAUAACACCAACUUAAUGAAUAAUAUUAUUAAUAUUAAAAAUUCUAUCACUUAUGUAUGCACGUAGAAACCAUAGAUUUAAAAUAAAAAAAUUUGUUUAAAAGUAAUAAAUAAUGAAACAUAUGAUUUGAAACUAAUUAUACAAGUAACGUUUUGGAUAAAAUCACUUUUUGGAUUAAUACGAAAAUAUUAAAAUUAGAUAAAAUAAACUUUUGGAUUAAAUUUACAAAACAAAAAAGCGGUUGUCCGUUUAGGGAAAGACCCAAGGAACCAUGAAGGAUCCAAGUGACACCGGCCCGUUAUCCUUCCACUGCAAAGAGAGGGAAGUUUUCGCUGCUCUGUGAAACCAGCCUUACGCUUUGCCUUCCACUCUAGGAGCAAGGAGACCCAAAGCUUUCGCUCAGUUGGUGUUGAGUUGACUUAUAACACCAACUUAAUGAAUAAUAUUAUUAAUAUUAAAAAUUCUAUCACUUAUGUAUGCACGUAGAAACCAUAGAUUUAAAAUAAAAAAAUUUGUUUAAAAGUAAUAAAUAAUGAAACAUAUGAUUUGAAACUAAUUAUACAAGUAACGUUUUGGAUAAAAUCACUUUUUGGAUUAAUACGAAAAUAUUAAAAUUAGAUAAAAUAACCUUUUGGAUUAAAUUUACAAAACAAAAAAGCGGUUGUCCGUUUAGGGAAAGACCCAAUGAACCAUGAAGGAUCCAAGUGACACCGGCCCGUUAUCCUUCCACUGCAAAGAGAGGGAAGUUUUCGCUGCUCUGUGAAACCAGCCUUACGCUUUGCCUUCCACUCUAGGAGCAAGGAGACCCAAAGCUUUCGCUCAGUUGGUGUUGAGUUGACUUAUAACACCAACUUAAUGAAUAAUAUUAUUAAUAUUAAAAAUUCUAUCACUUAUGUAUGCACGUAGAAACCAUAGAUUUAAAAUAAAAAAAUUUGUUUAAAAGUAAUAAAUAAUGAAACAUAUGAUUUGAAACUAAUUAUACAAGUAACGUUUUGGAUAAAAUCACUUUUUGGAUUAAUACGAAAAUAUUAAAAUUAGAUAAAAUAACCUUUUGGAUUAAAUUUACAAAACAAAAAAGCGGUUGUCCGUUUAGGGAAUGACCCAAGGAACCAUGAAGGAUCCAAGUGACACCGGCCCGUUAUCCUUCCAUUGCAAAGAGAGGGAAGUUUUCGCUGCUCUGUGAAACCAGCCUUACGCUUUGCCUUCCACUCCAGGAGCAAGGAGACCCAAAGCUUUCGCUCAGUUAGUGUUGAGUUGACUUAUAACACCAACUUAAUGAAUAAUAUUAUUAAUAUUAAAAAUUCUAUCACUUAUGUAUGCACGUAGAAACCAUAGAUUUAAAAUAAAAAAAUUUGUUUAAAAUUAAUAAAUAAUGAAACAUAUGAUUUGAAACUAAUUAUACAAGUAACGUUUUGGAUAAAAUCACUUUUUGGAUUAAUACGAAAAUAUUAAAAUUAGAUAAAAUAACCUUUUGGAUUAAAUUUACAAAACAAAAAAGCGGUUGUCCGUUUAGGGAAUGACCCAAGGAACCAUGAAGGAUCCAAGUGACACCGGCCCGUUAUCCUUCCACUGCAAAGAGAGGGAAGUUUUCGCUGCUCUGUGAAACCAGCCUUACGCUUUGCCUUCCACUCUAGGAGCAAGGAGACCAAAGCUUUCGCUCAGUUGGUGUUGAGUUGACUUAUAACACCAACUUAAUGAAUAAUAUUAUUAAUAUUAAAAAUUCUAUCACUUAUGUAUGCACGUAGAAACCAUAGAUUUAAAAUAAAAAAAUUUGUUUAAAAGUAAUAAAUAAUGAAACAUAUGAUUUGAAACUAAUUAUACAAGUAACGUUUUGGAUAAAAUCACUUUUUGGAUUAAUACGAAAAUAUUAAAAUUAGAUAAAAUAACCUUUUAGAUUAAAUUUACAAAACAAAAAAGCGGUUGUCCGUUUAGGGAAAGACCCAAGGAACCAUGAAGGAUCCAAGUGACACCGGCCCGUUAUCCUUCCACUGCAAAGAGAGGGAAGUUUUCGCUGCUCUGUGAAACCAGCCUUACGCUUUGCCUUCCACUCUAGGAGCAAGGAGACCCAAAGCUUUCGCUCAGUUGGUGUUGAGUUGACUUAUAACACCAACUUAAUGAAUAAUAUUAUUAAUAUUAAAAAUUCUAUCACUUAUGUAUGCACGUAGAAACCAUAGAUUUAAAAUAAAAAAAUUUGUUUAAAAGUAAUAAAUAAUGAAACAUAUGAUUUGAAACUAAUUAUACAAGUAACUUUUUGGAGAAAAUCACUUUUUGGAUUAAUACGAAAAUAUUAAAAUUAGAUAAAAUAACCUUUUGGAUUAAAUUUACAAAACAAAAAAGCGGUUGUCCGUUUAGGGAAAGACCCAAGGAACCAUGAAGGAUCCAAGUGACACCGGUCCGUUAUCCUUCCAUUGCAAAGAGAGGGAAGUUUUCGCUGCUCUGUGAAACCAGCCUUACGCUUUGCCUUCCACUCUAGGAGCAAGGAGACCCAAAGCUUUCGCUCAGUUGGUGUUGAGUUGACUUAUAACACCAACUUAAUGAAUAAUAUUAUUAAUAUUAAAAAUUCUAUCACUUAUGUAUGCACGUAGAAACCAUAGAUUUAAAAUAAAAAAAUUUGUUUAAAAGUAAUAAAUAAUGAAACAUAUGAUUUGAAACUAAAUUAUACAAGUAACGUUUUGGAUAAAAUCACUUUUUGGAUUAAUACGAAAAUAUUAAAAUUAGAUAAAAUAACCUUUUGGAUUAAAUUUACAAAACAAAAAAGCGGUUGUCCGUUUAGGGAAAGACCCAAGGAACCAUGAAGGAUCCAAGUGACACCGGCCCGUUAUCCUUCCACUGCAAAGAGAGGGAAGUUUUCGCUGCUCUGUGAAACCAGCCUUACGCUUUGCCUUCCACUCUAGGAGCAAGGAGACCCAAAGCUUUCGCUCAGUUGGUGUUGAGUUGACUUAUAACACCAACUUAAUGAAUAAUAUUAUUAAUAUUAAAAAUUCUAUCACUUAUGUAUGCACGUAGAAACCAUAGAUUUAAAAUAAAAAAAUUUGUUUAAAAGUAAUAAAUAAUGAAACAUAUGAUUUGAAACUAAUUAUACAAGUAACGUUUUGGAGAAAAUCACUUUUUGGAUUAAUACGAAAAUAUUAAAAUUAGAUAAAAUAACCUUUUGGAUUAAAUUUACAAAACAAAAAAGCGGUUGUCCGUUUAGGGAAAGACCCAAGGAACCAUGAAGGAUCCAAGUGACACCGGCCCGUUAUCCUUCCACUGCAAAGAGAGGGAAGUUUUCGCUGCUCUGUGAAACCAGCCUUACGCUUUGCCUUCCACUCUAGGAGCAAGGAGACCCAAAGCUUUCGCUCAGUUGGUGUUGAGUUGACUUAUAACACCAACUUAAUGAAUAAUAUUAUUAAUAUUAAAAAUUCUAUCACUUAUGUAUGCACGUAGAAACCAUAGAUUUAAAAUAAAAAAAUUUGUUUAAAAGUAAUAAAUAAUGAAACAUAUGAUUUGAUAUAGCUUGUAUAGCUAUAGGGUAUGGUAUAGCUUGUACAAUAUGUACUCUAAAAAAGCCAUCUCCUUGAACGUGACUCGAUCUCGGUGAUAACAGACGAAUAUAGGGAUGUGUCCACUACGGGUUUUUAUGUUGGAAUGUAUAAGGUGCAUAUAUUUCGAGAGAAUGAAAAAUUCGAAUAACAUAGUAUGCCAAGGUACAACAUGUACAAUCCUUUCUCCAUCUCACUUGCUUCUAAGUUUUUUCUUUAGUUUUUAUUUUAUUAAUAAUUAAUAAUUGGGGAAUAAUAAUAAGGUUAUUUGAGAUUGAAUAUAAACUCUCAUGUCUACAACAUAUAAUGCUUUUGUCACUAGGCAAAGAGGUUGUUGGCGUAAUUACACGUUGGACACAAAUACAUUAUAUAAAGUUACACUUGAAAAUAUAAUAUUUAGUGUUAUUUCUAGAUUUUAUUAAAUAAAUAUUAACGGUUAUAUCCAACUCUUACCCCUAUUAAUUUUAUAUAUGGUAGUGGAUACCAAUUCAAUCAAUUCAUGGAGUAUUCCAAUUGCAAAAUGAAAGUAAUUUGUGAUAGAAUUAAAUCAUGUAAUUAAUUAAAUAAGUGGUUAGAAGAAGUGGGAGUAAUUUUUUUUUCAAGUAUCUAGAUCAAGUUCGAAUCUAAAUACCAUCUCGACAUGAAUAAAACUAUAACUAAACUAUAAAACAGAUGAAAAUACUUGUGAUUACAUAAAAAAAAAAAGA